GUAAUUUCACAUUGCGAACCCUUCGUUCAUCCUCUGACUGGGGCCUCGGCAGGUUGGAGGCUUGGAUCCUCCGCCCGGUUGCGGAUCCUCCGACGCUUUGUGUCGGAGGUUGUCCGACCCGGCCACCCCGGGAGUUCCUCCUUAGCCUGGUCUAGUCGGAGGUUCCUUGGCCUGGCUGCGUCCUCCCGCCAUCCUCGGACCCGGGAGGGUCGGAGGUUCCAAUCUUUCCUCGCUCGUGGACCUCCGCCGAUGUCUCAGUCCCUGCACACAUACUGCACGACCAGACGAGUCGUCAACAUUAGCAUUUCCCGUCGAAGGAUAUCCUCCGACGUUUCAGGCGUCGGAGGUUCCUCAGGUGAAGGAUAACCUCCGACGCUACCAGGGGGAAGGAUGCAGCUUUUCCCCAACACACUGUAUCCGAAGAGAGAUGGAUACGUGACCCACUUGGGCUUAAGCUAGGCUUGUUUUGGUCGCCCGGGACCGGUAAAAAUAAUAAUACUGAGAAAUGAUUAAUUAAUUAAUUUGGGUGGGCUGCUUUCACAUGUGUGCAAUUUUACAAGACAAAAAAAGACUUCUCAUAACAAAAAAUAUAGAGACAGAUGUUCAAAAAAAAAAAUAGAGACAGUAGCGCAGGGUGCUGCCACAAAGGAACAUACUCCGAGGAUGCAGUCCAGAACGCGAAAUGACAACCGAUAGAGGAAAAAACAUGCAUAAACAACACGACGAGCGUUGUUAUUACCUGCCGGCUAAUUAAAUCACCCGCUAGAUCAGGCACUAAUGCUCCGGCCGCCGUCGACGAAGAUGACUUGGCCAGUGGCGUAGGUCGCCGCCACCAUGCCAAGGAACGGCACCUUCGACGCCACCUCCACUGGCUCGCCGCGCGCUGUAUGGGGACCCUGGAUAACGAUUGCUCCGCGGCCUCCGGUGGUGCCUAUUAGGAUUAUGUACAUGUCAUGUCAACAACUAAUUUCAUGUAGGCAAUCUCUUAUGACGACACCUCUGAAACUUCCAUCGACAUUUCAGAUGGCGCCUUUCAUAGUAGGCUUGUAUACUUACAUGGAGCAUGUUGUAGAUGCACCUAUAUAUGGCAGCAGUGAUGGCACUAAAGGAGGUCGUAUUGCUUUUAGCUCAACAGAUGGGAUGCAAUGAUUUUAUUAAUUAUAUACUCAUAUAGUCUGGAGAUUGUGGACACAAUUAAUGAAAAGCGGCAUCGCAUCUAUAGCAGGGGCAUCAAUUUUUGAUGAAUGUUUCCAGCUAUAUGACAAAAUUUUGAAUCAAUAUCUUUGGACCACUGCCAUCGGGAAGCCAAUAAUGUUGUGCAUGAGUUAGCUAGAGUAGCUUUAUUAGUAAAAAAAUUUGUAUUCGGGUCGACGAACCCCCGAUUUUAUGCUUGAAAGCCUUGUAAACGAUCGAUGUAAUGGCUUCAGAGACAGGUAGAGAAAGACGGGAACGUUUGCGCUGCCUGAACUGCCCGCAGCAAUUUUCUGUUUAAUCUUCUUGCUACUGAAAUUAAAGGAGAUAAUACAGAGGAAAUAGCCACACGCAUUCCAUGCAUAUGCAUGCCGAGGCCGAACCGACCAGCUAGACUCCAUGCAUGCAAUCGCCUUAUUGUAAUUACAUAUAAGAAGUAUAUAUAUAUAAAACUUAGGUCUCACAUUGGUAGCAGGAUAUGCAUGAAUUGAAACUUGUUGGACGUGCAUGGUGCGCGCGCCUCAUGGCCUGGUGGCCUCUAGGCGCGCAUGCAUGCAUGGCUUCGGCUUGUGCGGGGAGCUGUGGCACCUGGAGCAGAAUCUGUGGCCGCAGCUGCAGACCACGUCCAUUGCAACCCCGAUGCGGUCGUCGUCAAACAUGAUGGCAAGACCACAUUUUGGGGCAGGGCACCACAUUGUCCUGCCGCCACUGUUAUCCAAGUAGGAGUCGAACAGGAACUUGAGGUACCAUUUCUUUCCCUUGCUACCGUCCGGCAGUCUGUUGACGAGAUCACGGAGGACGGGCACAUUGCACGACGACGACGGGCACCGCAGCGGCAAGUAGUGCUGGACGCCUUUGUUCGCCAGCUCGUCCUCCAGGUGCGUGCUCCAGCACCCGUUGCAGUAGUAGUGAGAGCAGCCGGGCGACAUGAGCAGCCCUGCGUUGAAAGAGCCGCGGCAUUUCAUGCAGGUCCUCACUUGGGUGCUCGGCUUCACGGGCUUCAUGGCGGCAUCGAUUGUCAGACCCAUGUCGUUGAGGAGCUUGUCGGGGCGGUCGUCGUCUUGCUGCUGCUGCUGCCACUCUGUCUGCACCCUUACGAUCGACCAGUCGUAGUUCUGCAGCAGGAGCUCGGCGACUCCAGGCUGGAUGCCCAGGGCCUUGGAGAUCGCAUCAAUAUCAAACUCUUGCUGGGUUUCCAGGACGUCUUGAGUAAAAACGGUGUACCCUUGAUUCUUGUCCUGCGGCGAUGUCCUGUUGAAAUAUACCAAAAGAUUUUUUGGAUAUGCAUGCAUUCUUCCCACCCAACCCUCGAACUUAUAGGUGUUAUUGUUUGAGAUAGGAGAACAAUUAUAUAUAUAUUGGAGGAGACAUGGAUAUAUAUAUUUGGUUUUUGUUUGAUACACCUAUAUAUAUAUAUAUAUAUAUUAUGUUUAAGAGAGCUAGCUCUUUGGAGAGACGAUGGUCUUACCUAGUGCUGCCUGCUUCCCCCGUAGCAAGCAUGGAAACAACCUGCUGCAUGGACGGCCGGUGUUUGGGAUCACGAAGAGAGCACAGCACCCCGACAAGCACACACUUUGUUGCCAUCGCCACGUACUGGUCAGUUACCAGUUUCUUGUCGAAUAAAUUCGUGAAUUCAUUUUCCGGCUGUAGCUGUAUCCUAUUAAUCUGUGCGCCAAUGAAAAAAAAAUAUAUGAAAGAAAUGGAUUAUAUGAUCAUCAGCUGUAAGUUUGAGAGAGACUGGUCAUCAGUUACCAGUUUCUUGUCAAAGUUGCUACCUGUUGCCGUCAUAUGUGUUAAUAUAUAGUGCGAUACUACAAACUUACCCAUUCUUCAUGGCUACUCGGAAGACGGUUAUGUUCCUUUGUUGUAGCGCACAUGUGGCUAAUGGUCUCAAGGAGCAUGACACCAAAGGAGUACACAUCGGACUUGGUUGACGCUCUAGGUUCAUCUAGAGAUAGUUCUGGAGCCCUAUAUCGCUUCCUGAGCAGUUAAAUUAAGUGAAAAAAAAGGGUCAGACCGAACACGGUAUGUAUAUAUGUAUAAGGAUAUUUAGUAGAUUGGAAUUGCGCAUCUCACUCCAGGCCAGGUAAGGUUUUCACACCGAGACGGAUCACAUCUUCAGGGCCUAACUCCUUUGCUGUACCAAAAUCAUUGAUCUUAGGAAUCAUAUUAUCGUCCAAGAGAAUCGAUUUUGGCUUCAGAUCCAAGUGAACAACACGUUCCUUAUGCAUGUAGUGCACACCGUCGGCUAUUCCUUGGAUUAUCUUGAAAACAGUGGGCCAUUUAAAACGUUCUUUCCCUGCAUAAUACAAUCGAAGGCGUUGAAGAAACUACUAGUUACAGUAUGGUAAUGUCAUGAGAAAAUUUUGUUCGCACAUGUGAAUUCUGAUCAGAACUAAAUUUUAGUGAAAUUGUACCUUCAGUAACUCUGAUCAUGCUUCCUUUGGACAUGUAUCUGCUGACAAAACAAAGCUGACGAUUUUCUUGAACUUCGACAGACGAUUUGCCUUGGUCCACCACCAAAAUAUCAUCGCUUUCAAAGCAAUAUCCCAGAAAUUCAACAAUGUUUCUAUGCCGGAGCUUCAAAAUCAUUCUAAGCUCAUUAACAAAGCGUUUCUUGGUGCCUGUCUUAACGUUAAGAAAUUCCUUGAUUGCAACUGACAUCUUGUAUAAUUCACCCUGAUAUUUUUAAGUACAAAAAAUAGAUUAGCAAGUUAUUAAAUUAUGCAAUCAUUUCCAUAAAAUAAGAGAAACAGAAAAAAAUAAAAUAUCAUCACGCCUUUAAGUAGCGGAUUAGUUGGCUCGAUUAAAAUGAUGAUAUUUCGUAAUAUUGUGACGUUCAUGUUAUCAAACUUCGAUGGAAUAAAAAGAAGAAUUGCAUGAACAUGAUGCCAUGCAUGCAUGUUCUCUGUUUGUAUUGUAACGCUAUAUAUAUAUAUAUAUAUAUAUAUACUGGAUUAAAAAGAAAUAGUUGUUUUCUAUUAAGUCUUAUUGAAGAUAACCUUACCUAUAUUUGUUUAUUUAAAUAUAAUCAGAAAUUAGUAUCUUUGAAAAGCCAAUAGAAAAUUUUGUGCUUCAUUUCUACUGUAAUAUGUUCGUUGCUCUGCUUUCUCUAGCAGUUACUCUCUCCAUCUCAAAUUAUAGGUUUGCUCAAGUUUUUCUACUAGGUACGUUAUUUUUUGUUAUGUGUGUGUAUAUAUAUUAAUACGUCAAAGUGCAUAAUAAAAAGCAGGUGUCUACAAUAUCCAAAAUGACGAGGGUAAGUGUACUAAUCAUUUGUACAGAAAUAAUGGUUGUACCGUAUCAUGCGCGCGUCAACCUGCUAGCUCCUAAGAAAAUCAAGUCUGGGAGUAAUUGCCUGAAAGCCGUACCACAAAUUAAAAAAAAAAACUGGCAACCAAGGACAUAGCUAAUUGGGUACCUUGUAGACAGCACUUUGGUUACUUUGAGAAAUUGGUGAUGACGAUGUUUUGCAACGAUCCAAAUCAGACCAACUGUAGUCGCGUAAACCUGUCGUGCCAACACAAUGACAGAGGCCAGUUUAUUAUAUAUAUAUAUAUAGUAGUUACUUCCAUUUUCAAUAAACCAUAUUACGUAUAUGUUCAUAUUUGUUUAUCGAUUUAAGUAUGUUUAUAUACUCAUAUUAAACUAUUCUAGAUCUUACCAUGAUUUUUUUGAAGGAAUCCAUAUUUUUCAAUAUAUUACUAAAAUGUUACUAUUGUAGUAUAUAUAAUAAGCUUAACAUAUAUUACUAAAAUGUUACUACUUAAGUAUAAUCAUAUACUCCAUGUACGUAUACAUACUUAACAUAUAUAUAUCACCUUAGAUAGUCCAGUAUGAUCAUAUACUUUGUCUACAUAUAUUUCGUUCGGUCAUAUAUACUAUAAAUCUAAAGAUAUAUACAAGGGAGUAACUACUCCUAAAAGUACAAAGUAAUUUCUCUCUCUCUCAUAUAUAUAUAUAUAUAUAUAUAUAUAUAUAUAUAUAUAUAUAUAUAUAUAUAUAUAUAUAUAUAUAUAUAUAUAUAUAUAGAGAGAGAGAGAGAGAGAGAGAAGAGAGAGAUAUAGAAACUAGUGGGUGUAGGGCACAAAUUACGUUAAACAAUAAACUUACACAUUUGGAUUUGUUUGGGAAAGCACGCACGCAAAUGGUGCGUAGUACAUGUUUGUUAUGACAAGUAGUUUAGCACUAGCCUAAAUUUGUUGUAUGUUAUGGAUAUUUCUAACAGUCCGUACUAUUUUAAUCACAAUAAAUAGUAGCCCUAUAUAUAUAAUUCGGAGUUUGUGUGUUACUAGUUAUCAUCCCAGAGAUUUUGUAUUUGAUUUGGUAGCUCGCGAUUUGCUGAGCAUGGGUCAGUUAAUACCAGGCCCUGAGAAGCAUAUAAGUGUGAAAAAACCACUGAUUUAUUUUGAUGGGAGAAAAAUCCGAGAUACCAUAUAUUCACAUGGUUAUCUGAAGGAUGAUGAAGCAUUCAGUGGACCUAGAAUGCGUUCCAACUUUCGAGCCGAUUGCGUACGUUGCCGACAAGUGUAUUAUGAAGAAACGGUGAAAAUAUCUAAUUCAAUAUGCACCAGUACUAGCACCACCGUACCUGCUCUUCUUGUGGACGUUUUGUUUUGAUUUGUAGCAUCGUUAGUUGAAUCAUCAGUGCGAUGCUGCUCCAAUCGUCCGACCGAAAUAUAUCAAAUUAAAUUAGAAUAGAUUGCAGUGCUAUGACAGCGCCACACACACACACACAUAUGGUAAUUAAAAGGGAAAGUAAAACGGCCGGUAGUACCUUGGAUUGCAGAGACUCAAGGAGAGAAAUAGCGUAAUCUAUUUUCUGAUCCAUCCUGCGAAACUGGUUGGUGGUGCUGACGCUGGCAACGAGGGCAGAGUGAAGCAUACUCUGUGAUAAAUCUUGUCUCAGCUGGUUCAGCUUAGCGGCCGUGCGAUUGGCCUGAAAGAAUUGGACCAAGUCGUUGCCAUCUUGGAGCUUCUUCACUUCCGUCUCCGUGCUCACCAGGGUGUCCUUGAAACGCUGUAAAGCUGCUUGCACGCUGGUGUCCAUUACCCCCUCGGUUAGCGGUUCCAGUUCCUCGCGCAGCGCGUCCAUGAGGCCACGCAUCUCUCUGCACUUCUUCUUGUUCUUUGGAACCUUCAUCAUCAUGGUACUGAUGCUGUUCAGGACAUUGAUGAUCUGCGUCACCAGACCGCCGUCCAUCCUUACCCUGCCACCAGACACCAUGAUCAGCAGAUUAUCUAUCUAUCUAUCUAUCUAUCUAUCUAUCUAUCUAUCUAUGUGUGUGCACGUGCGUGCAUGCGUAUGUAGAUGGUAACAAGACAGACACGCACAUACGCACUCAUAUGAUUCAAGAAGCGGUUGUUAUAGAAAAUAUAAUAUCAAAUGAAAUGAAAUGAAACGAAUCGAGAUUCAGAUUAUUAAUUCAUUCAAACAAGAAACAACACAAUUAUAUAUAUAUAUAUAUAUAUAUAUAUAUAUAUAUAUAUACACGUACCGAUCGAUCAAAACCAGCAGAUUUCCGCAGCUUGUAAUAGAAUCGAUCAGAGAGCUCCGAGCUGAUCGACUGGAUAGGUACUAUCGAGGGUCGUCUGCACUAGCUUGUUGCUUAAGUGCAGUGAGUAUAGUAGUGUCUAGUAACAUGCAGGGACGACUGUAUAUAGAGGAGGGUGAUCAUCGAGGGGAAAGCUAGAGGGAGUGGGGGUGGGUGGUACGGGGAUAAAGUAUACGGAACGGAACGGAACAUGUUAAUUUGUGACGUGCAUGUGAGAAGCACGAUCGAGAAGCAACAAGCCUACACCUUCCUCCUCCACACCUUUCUGACUAGACCUCCAAAACUAAAAGUUGGACAAGAGGCUUCGGCACGCGCGCGGCUCCGAUCCCCAACUAACUCAUAAGGGCACUCACAAUGCAGACUCUAUCAUAGAGUCUAAAGUUAUUUAUUACCUCGAACAAUGUGGAUUUAGAGUCUAAAUAAGACUUAGAGUCUUAUUUUUUCUACCUCUUUCUUUAAUAAAUAUGCUGCCACAUCAGCAAAAUACCAUAAAUAAUAUGUAAUUAAUUGUCUUGGACUCUAUGAUAGAGUCUUGCAUUGUGAGUGCCCUAAUGCCUCCUUCAGUUAUACUACUACUAAUCAGCCAGUGCAAAACGGCACAAGAUCCACUGUAGUAACCCAAUCACGCGUUUGGCACAACUUCUCAGAAUCUUCACACAAGUUGUUUGGAGCUAUUUUUUGCUAAACGAGUGAAAAUAUUCACAAGUAGAUCGUGUUUCUGAAAAUAUUGAAUCAUAUGAUAGGAUGAUGAGUGACGGAUGGAACUAAAAAUAUCAGCUUCUCCAAGCGCCCCCCCCCCCUCCUCUCUCAUAGGCCCCAAUCUUCCUUCCGAGUAAUGAGAUUAAAGGCAUUGUCAAUCUUGCAUACAGCUAGCUAAAUACUCCCUCCGUCCCUGAAAGCUACAACUUCUAGAGUUGUCAUAAGUCAAACUUUUAAAAUUUUGUCCAAAUUUAUAGAAAAAAACGCUAAGAUUUAUAGUACCAAAUUAAUACCAUUAGAUUUAUCAUUGAAUAUAUUUUUAUAAGAUACUCAUUUUAUGUAUACAUAUCGAUGUUCUUUUCUAUAAAGUUGGUCAAAAUUAAACAAGUUUGACUGACACAGAUUCUAGGAAUUGAAGCUUUCAGGGAGAGAGGGAGUAAGCCUUAGAAAAAAAUAGAAAUUAAAAGAACAAUGUAGUGGAGGUUUACGUGGUAUGUGAGAGGGCUAUUAUAUUUUGGAGAUUGUGUUAGACUAGUUAUUUGAGAGUAGCUAACUAGUUGAUUUUUCUCCUAGAUAGCCAAUAGAAUUAUUUGUAGACUAGCUAUAUAUUUAGGAACCGUUGGGAUGCUCUAAGCGAUAGCUAUCGUGCAGUCACUGCAAUCUGGUUGUUGCUUGACCUUCUGUUUUGGAUCUUAAUGAGGUGCAUGCCACUACCACAUGUAUUAAUUGAGACACUAUUACCUUCCUUCCAUGAAUUAAGACAGCGGACCAUUUAAUAAGUCCGCCGCCAAAAUAAGAGCUAUUUUUAGAGACGGACCAGCCUCAGGCUACUAUUAGGUGUGAACCAUUUUUAUUAUUUUUCAAUUAUUAGGUGUCAUAGGUUCGUAACCACGAUAGGCAUUCUAUUGUUUGACGGGGUUGAUGUGUGUACUUCUAGUGGCUUAAGCACUCAAAACACUUAGUGACACAAGCGAUUUGUCAUGAUUCGCGCUUAUGAGCCCUACGUCUAACAAUAUGAUGUUUUUCAUGUUAGGAAUGCUCAAUCGAGAGUCCUUACAAUGGGAAAAUUAAUCGAGAGCAAAACGUCGGGGGUAGCGCGCUAAGCUAAUAUAGGCGUUCACUCAGGCUCAGGACCAAGCACUCGGUUGUGUUGCAUGAUCGCUCGAGAAGGAGCCCAUGCAUCGUGUAUACCGAUGAGGGCAUGAGGAUACAAUGUGUAUGGUUCUUUGCCUAAGAUGCUUCCUCCAGGCUUCUGGCCUUACAUGAGCCAGCAUUCACAUCCAGCUAUGUUAGGCUCUUAUCUCACUAGGGAAAAACAUCGUUUACAAAAUUUCACUGAAAUUUAACCAAAGUUCGUCCACAUGGCCCUCAGCCGCUCUUUAUUCUUAGCAAAACUAUCAGGCACUUCCUUCGAACCUUCGAACCUUGCUUUUCGAUCAUGUCAGAUUCUGUAAACAUCUCUUUAUACUUGUCCAGUUCUUUCGUGAGGAGGAGCAGAUUGGUAAAGGUGUUAUUGAUUAUGACUAGGUCACUGAAUCUGAUAUUGGUGUAAGAUUUUCCUUCAUUUCUACAGUGGCAUCCGGAAACACAAAUAGCUAUAUACUGGAGCCUGCUAUGACUAGGUCACUGAAUCUGUUAUUGAUUUAUGAUUGUAUCAAUUAGCUGCAAAUAGCUAUAUACGGGAGCCUGCUAGUAUUACCUCCAUCCGGAAACACAAAUUCCAAGAAAUUUUUAGACCAACUAAAUAGUGUUGCCAACUUGGGAUUAGUUGUAUUUCCUCCAUCCAGAAACAGAACUAGCGCGCAUAUGCCCCUCAAAGAUUAGUUAGUUCGGUUGCCAACUUGAUUAGUAAUGCAUAAUUUAAAAAGACAUACAUGCCAGGCAUUGGUUUUAAGCUUUUAGCUACCAAUUGUAUAUGUGUCAUUUUGCGCACAUUGGAGUUUAAAAUGCAAGUAUAGAUGGGGUUUAGAAGGCAGGCACAUAUAGAUGGGGCUGAGGAAUUUAGAAUAUCUUAUAAUUUGGUAUAAAUUUGACCUUUUGGUAUCUUGUAUUCAGGACCGAGGGAGUAUCUUUUAAUUAAUUAGGUGAUUGCACAGUUCAAGCUGGGAUAUAUGUUGGACUAUAAAUUGGGUUUUUUAGCUUAGCUAGAGCUUUAUUGUUACAAGUUCGUUAUUACCUAACUUAUCCAAAGAUUGUUUCUCUCACAUGGUUAACUAGUAAACCUUCACUUAUUGUACCUAGAAUUUGGUUACUAGAUUCAAAAUAUAUGUUUUGUAUUGGAUUUUAGGUUGUUUAUAAAUGGGCACUAUAACCCAAAGUUUGGACGCUUUUGCUCAAUUUUCAAUGUGAUUGCAAAUUGGUGCUCAGCCCAUAUGAAUUCCAGAGCUAUGUCCCGUUUUUUUUUCGUAUGUGCAGAAAUUAAUAACAACCGAUACUACCAACUAUGAAUGCACACAGAUCGAUCCACAUAUUGAGAUUUUUAUAAGUUUAACGGCUAUAUGCAUUUGUAGUUGGUGCAGAGGCUCAAGGUUAUACGGCGUUAUGUUAAGAACAUAGACAUUUUAUUGUUUUAUUGAGUACAUGUCUGUACCAGUAUUCAAAUAACCCUUUUAUAAGUUAGUUCACACAUACUUUUAUAAGUUAUUGAUGCCGUGUUCACAGAAUUCACAGGAAAGAGGCUUUCGUUGUUUCUUCUUUUUCUUUCUUAACUAAUGACCCCAUCAAAAGUCUGUAUCCUACUUUUAUUACUAAAUACAAGAUAAAGGUGUCCUCAUAAUGUGGUUAGUUGUAGUGCUAGCUCAUAUAUAUAUAUGACUGAGAAAAUUUGUAGUCGCUUUAAAAACUUUACCUUAACCUUUAUUUGUCCUAUAAUUCUCCAUCUGGUCAAGUCUAGUUGACGCAGAUCGUGAGUAGCCCAUAUGUUAUGCUCGUUGAAACAAAGCGAGUGCACUAAUGCAUACAUUCAUUUAUUUAAAUGUCAUGCUCUAAAUUACACAACCAGGAUACUUUUAUUUUUAAUUCAUUUUAAAUCUUAUUUUAAAAAUAACCCAGCCCACUUUUCGUUUUUAUUGUUACCCUUUUUCCCAAGCCAACACGCCUGCUGUGGUAAAAUCAUGCUGCCAAGUGCAAUGGCGUGGCAAAAUCCACUAAUUCAUUAGCCUCAGAUGGUUGAUGCCUUCUAAGCCAGUGCUACCACUAUGGAGCAAACGUCUGGUGGCCUUUUUCCUACCUGCAUGGCUUUCUUCUUUGUUGGGGAUAUCGCCUGGGCCGGGGGGCAUCUCUUCUGAUUCUUUGGCGGGUGGAGGGGGGAAGAUGGAGUAGCACUCUGAUGAUCAUCAUGACCUGGAGGACUUCGGUUCGGAGACCUGCUGUGAGUACAGAAGUGAUUGGGAGUGCAUUGUUAAUACGCGAGAAGAGCCCACUAAUAAAUUAAGAAUGGGGUUACUAAAUAUUAAAAGACUGUUUUAUGAACUUUAAUCUGCACCUAUCAUGAGCUAGUUGAGGAGGAGGCGAUGGUGCCCUUUCUGCCGGAUUGGGAAUAAUGAUUUAGCGCUUGCGCCAUAUAAUGCAUGAAUGCUCCGCUUGUCCUAGGGUCUUCUCCCCAUCACCUCCUUCCAUCUCAAGAGCCAAUUUCCUAUACUCAUCGACAACUCUAUCCAGCCCGGCAUUAUAAUAACUAGCUGGAAUUUGUUUCCCAUAGCUUGUUGGUGCCUCCUCACCAGGGACCACGGGAGAAAUGAUACCGUACGCCACCAAGACUGUGGCAGCGGUAUUCACCAUGGGAAAGUGCAGCCCACAUGGCAUCAAAGGCGCUGAUAUGUCAUCCAUGGGGAAGCGCUGCAACGUGUCAUCUUGAUUUACAGGGAGCUUAGUGGAAGCAAAGCUGCUUCGGUGCUGUGUAGGGCUAACGGUGGCUCCAUGCUCCGAUAUUGACUGCCUUUGGCUCUGUACCAUGUUCUCUAACUCUUUUUGACUGCCUUUGGCUCUGUACCAUGUUGUCUAACUCUUUUGUUCUCUCUUGCAUGAUUUGUUCUGUCUCCCGUGUUUCUUGCAUAUCCUACUCUAACCUGUGAAGCCGUUCUGCCUCCUCUUCCUUCCUUCGCUAGCGGCUUUUGUAUUUAUCUGCAUCCGUAGGGAAGCCAUAUAUAUGUUCGCCUAGGGUGUUUAGGAGUCUGGAGGGCGUACAUGAGCUCAUCCUUAUCUUGUCUAGGCACAAAGACACCAUAGGCAGAAGCAUCUACAACACUGAAAAGUCUUUCUGUUGUUGUUGUGAGUGGUGGACUCAUACGACGCGGUGCCCUGGCCUUUGGGUCUAGUGACCCCCAUGUGCUAAAAACAAAUUCUUUGAGUGUUUGGGCUAGUUCAAUGAAACACUAGUACAUAAAAUUUAAUAGAGGUGGUCAUUUUUUGUUAAUGGAGACGGGCUUUCACAACCGUCUCUAAUCGAAGGCCUCAGUUAAUGGAUGGAUAACCGAUGCAGUUAUCCUGUUUGCCUCCAUUAACAGUAUCAAUGGAUGUAGGCGCCAUAAAGCCACCGCAUUCGUUAAUAUGAUUAGUGGAGGCAGACGAUGCCAGCGACUAGCCAAGCUGGCCUGGCCGAGGAACAAUGGUGGUGGGCAAAAAGUGUGCCCGCCUCCAAUCAAAAAACCACAAGGCCAAGCAAGUUAAAUCCUAUAGUAGUGAAAAUGUAUUGACCCCUUUGGCAACCAUAUCUUGUUCCAUUCUUUCCCACUUUGGAAUGGUAGUCUUGUAUCCACCUGAUUCGGUGUUAUGAUGGUAUACCUUCUUCUGUGCAUUGUCUUGGUUCCUUCGCACUCGUUUUUCACCCUCUUGUGAGGUCUUGUACCUCAUAAAUUUAGACCACUGGUCUCUCGACUUUUUGUGUGGGCUACUUUGAUUGAAGGAAGGAGUCAUAUUCUUCUUGACAAACUCGUUGUACAGCUUCUUCUUCCUAGUCUUGAAUUGUGUGGCCACCUUUUUGAGAGCCCAGCUUUUUACUAGUUCAUCGACAUCUUGUGGUAGAGUGAAAUGUUCAGUGAUUGCAUUCCAAAGAAACUGCUUCUCUAGAUUAGAGAUAAAUGGAAUCGUAGGAUCAUCCUUCCUCUUUUUCCAUUCAUGGAUGUUGAUCGGGACCUUGUCCCUAACAACAACCCCACAUUGGUUUACGAACUUCCUUGCAUUGGCUUUAGGCAGGAGUGGUUCAUCAGUAUUUUGAUUGACUUAUUUGAUGUUGUAGUGGCCCUCCAAUGGUUUGGCCGGGCCUUGUACACUUCUCGUCGACCUCGUAUUAGAUCCUGAGCGCUACAUAUGUUUAAACACAAAAGAUUCAGUAAUACAUUUAUAUAUAUACAAAUUGAUGAAUUUUUUAUUGAUAUAUAUAUAUAUAUACAAGUAGAUUUAACAAAUAUAACUCGCCAACACUUUUUUCUGCACAACAGGUUUUUGCACAUGAGAUUGUGAUUGCUCAAAUUCUAAAUUUGCUAAGAACCGAUUGAACUCUUAGUCGACCUCAUUCUGGUUGGGGCCAUAUUGACUACCGUUGUUGAUAAUAUUCAACAUGGUCUCAUUGUGGUCGAUGUUGUCUUGUGGCCCGACCAUCUUAACUACCACAACUAUAUAUAAAUGAAAACCAUUAGUCAUAGCGGGGUUAGGGUUUUGAGCUAGCGGGAGCAUGGCGGCAUUAGGUUUGGAGGCGGAGUGUGGCGGAGUUAGGGUUUGGAGCUAGCAAGAGCGUGGCGGGGUUAGGCUUUGGAGGCGGAGCAUGGUGGGGUUAGGGUUUGGAGCUAGCGGGAGCGCAAGGGGUUAGAUUUUAGAGCGCGGUUAGAGUGGAUAUAUAUAUAAAUCAAACAUAAAUCCACCAUCAUUCUCAAUCUAAAAAACCAUAAAAUUCUCUAUAUCUAGACCACGAAAUGAGCCAUGCCAGUGAUGAAACAUGAGAGGAUGAAGCUGCUAACCUUUUAGCAUAAAAAAUGGAUGGAGGAAUCGAAGGAGGUGUUGAAAUGGCGAUCACCGACGAGCAAGAACACACGAGAUGAGCAUCAAGAACAGUGAGCUAGAAUAGAGAGCUGCAAAUGGUAUUAAAGCUUUAGCCACGGCUGGUGGCUCCAAUCGGGAUUGGAAGUUGACCUUUAAUUCUGGUUUGUGGUUAAAAUUAGGACUAAAGUUCCCCUCUUGCUCGCUCUCAUGCAAAAGAUACGCUUCUAACGCUUGGGCAGGUACUUUAGUCCCAGUUGGUAUUUUCUACCAGGACAAAUACUAACUUUUGUCCUGGGACCAAAAAUGACCAAGACUAAAUCCUAAGAUGGAAAGUCUGUACUAGUGUAUGCAUUCGUAGUUGGUGCAGAGAGGGUCAAGGUUAUAUGGCGUUAUGGUAAGAACAUAGACAUUUUAUUGUUUUAUUUGACUACAUGUGUACCAGUAUUCAAAUAACCCUUUUAUAAGUUAGUUCACACAUACUUUUAUAACUUAUUAACGCCGUGUUCACAGAUUUCACAGGAAAGAGGCUUGCGUUGUUUCUUCUUCUUCUUCUUCUCUCUUAACUAGUGACCCCGGCCCAUCAAAAGUCUGUAACCUAAUUUUAUUACUAACACUAGAUAAAGGUGUCCUCAUGGUGUGGUUAGCUGUAGUGCGCGUAUGACUCAGAAAAUUUAUAAUCGCUUUAAAAACUUUACCUUAACCUUUAUUUGUCCUAAUAAUUCUCCAUCCGGUCAAGUCUAGUUGACGCAGAUCGUGGAUUUGCUAAUGCUAAAACUUUAUUAGCCCAUAUAUAUGUUGUGCGCGUUCAAACAAAGCGAGUGCAGUAAUGCAUACAUUCAUUUAUUUAAAUGUCAUGCUUACACAAUUAGCAUACUUUUCUUUUUAAUUCUUUUUAAAUCUCAUUUUAAAAAUAACGCAGCCCACUUUUCAUUUUUAUUGUUUUUCCCAAGCCAACACGCCUGUCGUGGUAAAAUCAUGCUGCCACAUGCAAUGGCGUGGGAAAAUCCACUAAUUCAUCAGCCUCCUAGAUGUUGUCGCCUUCUAAACAAGUGCUACCGCGCGCUAUGGAGCAAACGUCCGGCAAUCUUCCGGUCCGAAACGUUCGGACCGGAGUCGCCCUCUGAUGAUUCCCGUGCAUGCGUGAUGGGUCGCUAGGGACGCACGUUUUCUUUUUUUUUGUUUUUUCUUUUCUUUUCUUUUCUUCUUCUUUUCUUUCUUUUUAUGUUUCUUUUAUUUCCCCGCCCCCGAUCAUUGCUGUUAGUUUUCUUCUCUUUUUUUCUUUUUUUUCUUUUUCUUGCUAUAUUUUAUUUUCUUUAAUUUUUUUCAUUCUUUUUUUCAUUUUAUAUUCCGUUUGGUUCUUUUUUUAUCUUUUUUUUGUGCUUUAUUUUUAUUUUCCUUUUUUUUUGUAUAUUAUUCUUUGUUUUGUAUCUUUUCUUUUUUCUUAUUCUUAUUAUUUUAUUUUUUCCUUUUAUUUUUUAAUUAUGUUUUGGUUUAUCCAUGUUUUAUUUCUUAAUCUUUCUUUGUUAUUAAUCUUUUUUUUUUGCAUCAUUCAUUUUUUUGUGUUAUGUGUCUAAUUAUGUUUUCUUUCAUUCACGUUUUUACUUUUUAAUAUUUCUUUAUUUUUCUAUUUUCCUUAUCGUGCAUCAUUCAAUUUUUAUUUUUCUAUUUUAUGUCUUUACUAUUAUUUCAGUUAUUUCUAUAUAUUUUUAACUUUCUUUUUAUUUAUUUUUCUUUUCUUUUUAUUUUUUAUGAUGUUCUAUAUUGUUUUUGUUAUGUUCAAAUAAUAUAGUAGACAAGUUCACGUGCUACAUAUGUGAUAUUUUUUGAUGUUUUUUUAAUGUUCUCAUGGUAUAGAUAUGAUGUUCUAUAGUGUUUUUUACGAUGUUCGCGUAAUAUACGUGUUAUGUUUUAUAAUGUAUUUAGUGAUGUUGAUAUAAUAUAUAUACGAUUGUUUUUUAAUGCAUUUACUGAUGUUCGAUAGUGAAUUUAGUGACGUUCAUUUUGUAUACAUGUGAUGUUUUUGUGAUAUAUUUAAUAAUGUUCAGGUAAUAUAUAUACGAUGUUCUAUAAUGUAUUUAGUAAUGUUUUAUGGUGUAUUUAGUGAUGUUCACUUAGUAUACAUGUGGUGUUCUAUGAUGUACUGAGUAAUGUGCAUGUAAUGUAUGUGUGAUGUUCUAUAAUAUAUUUAGUGAUGUUUCGUAAUGUAUUUAGUUAUGUUCACUUAAUAUACAUGUGAUGUUCUAAAUAUACAUAAGAUAUUUCCCAAUAGCGUUCUAUGUGGGAUCUUGUUUUAGGCCUUGUUUAGUUCCGAAAAAAUUUCGAAUUUCGCUACUGUAGCAUUUUCAUUUUUAUUUGACAAAUGUUGUCCAAUAAUAAACUAACUAGGAUCAAAAGAUUCAUCUCGCGAUUUACAGACAAACUGUGUAAUUAGUUUUUAUUUUCGUUUAUAUUUAAUGCUUCAUGUAUGUACCGCAAGAUUCAAUGUGACGGAGAAUCUUGAAAACUUUUUGGAUUUCGGGAUAAACUAAACAAGGUCUUAAAGGAUUUGUUACAACAAAUUUAAUGGUACUAUCUAAAUUUAAUUUAAAUAUUUAGUUUAGAAGUUAUAAUUUUUUAAUCUAUAAAUAAUUAUACAAUGCAACGUGGAUAAGGUGGGCAUGGGCUAGCCUGGGCAAGGGCGCGGCCGCUCCUGAAAAUUUCGGUGCUGUAGUUGGCGAUUUCUACCCUGCAUGGCUUUGUUCUUCACUGGGGACUUCGCCUGGGCCAGGGAGGGGGUGGAGAUGCAGCCGUGCCAUGAACAUCUUCUGGCUCGUCGUCUAUAACACUGAUGAUCAUCAUGAGCUGGAGGGCUUCUGUUGGGAGACCUGUGAGUACAGAAGUGAUUGGGAGUGCAUUGUUAAUACAUGAGAAGAGCCAAUUAAUAAAUUAAAAAUGGGGGUUACUAAUAAAUAUUAACAAACUACUUCGUUAACUUUAAUCCGCAUCUAUCAUGAGCUAGUUAUGGAGGAGGUGAUGGUGCCCGCCGGAUUAGGAAUAAUGAUGUAGUGCUUGUACCAUAUAAUAUAUGAAUGCUCCGCUUGUUCUAGGGUUUUCUCGUCAUCAUCUCCUUCAAACUCAGGAGCCAUGCAAUUUCCUAUACUCAUCGACAACUCUAUGCACUCGGGAAAGAACUGUACUCAUGGAAGAGAGGCUUUCCCGAGUGCCGCAAAGUAUCUGGCACUCGGCAAAGGCACUCUUUCCCGAGUGCAACACUUGGGGAUGAGCCGCAUUCGGGGAAGAAAAGCGUUACUUAAUGGUCAACCCACCGGCGCUGUUAAAACUAAAAAACAAAAAAAAUCUAAGUGCCUUUCCUAACACUCAGGGAAAAGGCCCUUUCACGAGUGCCAGGACAUGGCUCUUUGGAAAAAGGCUGGCUUCCCCGAGUGCCGUGGGCCUGGCACUCAGGAAAAUGCCUCUUCCUCGAGUGCUGGGGAAGACACUCCGAGAAAUUUUUUUAUUUUACCCUAUUUUUUUGUGAGGCCUUUCCACAUUAUUUAAAACUCCUUUAUUACAUUUAGGACAAUAUUUUUUUGGUAUAUAGAGACAAUAGCAUGGUGCCACAAAAGAAAAUAGAGUCGAGAAUGGAAAUGACAACGGAUCUGAGGAAGAAACAUGAACCCGACAAGGCGUUAUUAUCUGUCGGCCGGCUAGAUCAGGCACUAAUGGUCCGGCCUCCAUCCACGCAGAUGACCUGACCAGUGACGUAGGAUGCCGCCGGCAUGCAGAGGAAGGACACCAUGGACGCCACCUCCACCGGCUCGCCGGCCCGCCGCAUAGGGACACUGGAUAACGAUUGCUCUAUGAUCUCGGGUGGUGCCUGUCAGGAGUAUUUAAUUUACACAUGUCAACUAAUUUUAUGUAGGCAAUUAUAUAGUAUACUAUAUAUAUAUAGGCCUUAUUUAGUUCCGAUUUUUUUUUGGAUUUUGGUACUGUAGCACUUUUGUUUUUAUUUGACAAACAUUGUCUAAUCAUGGACUAACUAGGCUUAAAAGAUUCAUCUCGUGAUUUACAAGCAAACUGUGCAAUUAGUUUUUGUUUCUGUCUAUAUUUAAUUCUUCAUGCAUAUGCCGGAAGAUUCGAUGUGACAGAGAAUUUUGAAAAGUUUUUGUUUUUUGGGGUAAACAAGGCCAUAGUAUACUAGUUAUGUCUUCAUUGGAGUAUAAAUAUACCUCUUUCGCCAUGUCGGUCAUGAUGAGUCCAGGUGCCACGCAGUUCACACGGAUCUUAUCGCUGGCCCACUCGGCGGCGAGGCUCCUUGUUAGUUGGUUCAUUCCGGCUGGCAUGCGUGAAAAAUAAAACAAAUUUACCAUCAAGGAUAUAACAUAUGGUAAGACAAAUGAUGUAUAUACCCUCGCUGGCGGUUACCAUAUUUAGGUUGGUAAUAGACACUAAUGACGUAUAUAUACAUCGGUCUUUUAAUUUUCUAUGAUGAAACUGGAGAGGCCAUCAGCGGCCUUCACAGGAAUUUAUUUAAGAAGUAAAAAUUAAAAUUCUUACAAACCAAAGAAGGUCAAAGCUCAUGAAACAAAAAAAAAGGAAACAAAAAAAUGAGAAAAAUUACAACAGGUUUUGGAUCCCAAGAUCAACCGUAGUAAUUUUUACAUAUGUCUUUACAUCGGUCUUUUGGGUGUUGCUUGUUAUUAUAAUUUAAUUUGUACGAACUUCCAACUCUGCAUUCCUUAUUCAGGAGGGAAGGAGUAUCUCAAACAAGUAAAUUUUUACACAUGCACUUGCGGUAUGUACUAGAAACUGUAGCGCGGCCUUGCCGCGCUUGUCUCCGAUAUUCCGCUAACAUUUGUUUUUUUAGUAUUAUAUAUUCAGUAGAAUUUGACAAUAUUAAGUAUGUGGCUUUAGGCCUUGUUUAGUUCGCUUGCGAAAACUUUUUAGGGCUACUAUAGCAUUUUUGUUUGUAUAUAGUAAUUAUUAUCUAAUUAUGGACUAAUAAGCUCAAAAGAUUCAUCUCGUAAAUUACACACAAAUUGUGUACUUAGUUAUUUUUUUUAAUAUAUAUUUAAUACUCCAUGCAUGUAUCAUAAGAUUCGAUGUAAUAAGAAAUCUUAAAAAAAAAUUAUUUUUUAGGAGGAACUAAACAAGGCCUUAGCAAGAAUAAUAUUAUAAUAUUAAUACAUGUAGGGAUGAACCUUAUCUAAUAUGUCUGUUUCAAUAAAAAAACUUCAAAAGAUACAAUCUUAUAUUUUUCUAUUUCCCGCUGAAUUGAGACGUCUAUUCGUUAAUGCUAUUUAGAGGACCCUAGUGAUUUUUGAGUCAAGAGCUAUACCUCCUUAUGUCGAGUGGGUGAAGGUAAAUUGAAAUUUUGUGGUGUUUUGCGUUGACAUAUUAAUAUUUGGAGCUAACUUUAUUUUUAUUCGAUGUUAUAUGGUUAUCUUGUUUAUGUUGUUCAUCUAAUUGAUAUCAAGAUGGAGACGAUAAAUUGCAAAAGGUCUCCGGUGUGAAAUCGAAAAGAUCAAUUCCAUGCUUAAUAGCAAUAAAAUAAGAAAAAAAUACAACAACACAUUUUGAAAAGGUAAUAUAAAUGUUACUAACAUGUAGAGUUUAUUUUUAUUAUUCUGUGAGCACAAAAACCAAGUUUUAUUGAAUUAAAAAAAUUGUUAAAUAAUUAUAUUAAACUACUUUAUAAAAUGUUGUUAAAAAUUGGUUUAUGAAUUAUGAUGCCACCAAAAACAUAGGUCACCAGCAGCAGCUAUUUUUGGUUAAGCUAUAACUCAACAGAUUUGUUUCUACUGUAUUGUUGGAUUUAUUUUCCUAAAUAAACAAAUGGCGGGCAGUCCGUUAUGUGCCUAGCGGAGGAUACAACAUCGAUGCAGGGGCGCAUAGGCGGUGGCAUGUCGAGCAGCUGAAACAGCAUGCAUUACAAUUUUUCUAGAAAUUACAAAUACAAUUCCCACUUGUAUUUGUGUCUUCGCAAAUAGUUGGACAAUUUUUCUCCCAUCAUCUUGCACAAACAACCUUAAUUACUUAAAUUUUUUUCUUCUAAUACAAUACUUCACCAAACCUUAUAAAAACAACAAAAAAAAAUGAAUAAUUAUUUACUUUAAAACAUUGGAAGUUAUGCUUAGAGAAUUGUAUUCUGAAAUCAGAAUAUCUGAAAAGUCUUGUGAAUUUGGAAAAUUAUAAAUGCUUAUAUACGUACCUUUGGCGGUGCCAUAGAGCGUGAUGCCGUGGUAGGCCAGCAAACUUCCAAUGGAGGAGACAUUGACGAUGCCGGCGAGGGACGAGGCGUUAAGGAGGAGAGGAUGCGCGAGCGAGCUGGCAGAGGUGGAAGCACGACUCUAGGUUCGUCGCCAUGCAACGCCGCCAGAAGUCUUCCGCUGUGCACUGCGCUACCGGUUUCGCCAACAACUGCGCCGCAUUGUUCACCUGUGUACACGCAAAAAAGAUUUUGAAAGACAAAAUUAAUGUUUGAUGAACAGAGGUAAAAAAAAGCAAUUACUUAGGUAGUCUCUAAAGAUAGUUAAUGAUUUUUUUUUUCAAUAGCAGAUAGUUAAUGAUUAUCAGAGGCGCGGUCAUCAGCUUACUUUGAAGCUAAUGACAGUUAUAGCAGAGGGACAUGUGUCGGCGGCUCUGGUUCGGCUUUUCUGUCAUCAAGCUUGAUGCCAUCGUCGAUGACUCCAGUGAGAUCUGCGGCAGCGUGUGGCACUGGUCGGCAUGCGGACUGCAGUUGGGCUCGGUAGCAGGCCUCUAAAAAUUCUCAACACCCAUCACUAAAACCUCUUUUUCUGCGCUAGUUUUUUUUUUCACUUUUCCUACUAUUGAGUGCCGUAAAGUAUAUACCGCUCAUUAUAUCAAAUGUUUAGACACAUGUAUGAAGUAUUUACGAAAGUAAAAACACAGCUAGAGAUGAGUAAUUUGCGAGACGAGUCUUUUGAGCCUAAUAAUUAAGUCCAUGAUUGGACACUAAUUGUCAAAUAAAACGAAAAUGCUACAGUACCGAACACCCUCUUAGUCGAUUGAGAUGUGAUGGUUGUUCAACCGACAGCGCCCGCGCCCCUUCCCCACAGGCAUGCACACACAUGUCCUUCUCUCCAUACGCUGUGGCAGUGACGCUGGUGAGGUAGACCCUCCUCCUUUUUCUCCUCUUAGAUUUGCAAAUUAGGGUUCCAGUAAGGUUCUCCUCUCACUCCCCUAACUCCGGCACUCUUAUCAUCUCUCUCUCUCUUCCAACUUCGGUGACCUUAGUAAAAUGAGGGCCUUGGGGAGAUAGACAGGCCAGGCGGUGAGGACGGUACCCUAGUAGUUCGGGGCCCUAGUGACGGUGAAGGUGGCCAGCUAUAGGUGGGGAAUGGGGAGUUUGGGCCAUUCGUCGGAGUUGAAGAAGAAAGCGGCGUUAGGAGGAGGGGAAGAUAAGAGGGAAUCUACCACAAGUGCAUAGGGUUUUACCAGAGCUCCAUGGCUGUGGCUACAGCAGCGGAGCUAUGAUAAGACCCUGACGCGGUGGGGCAGUGGGUGGCUGCGGGGGUGACUUCUGCAGUUGCGGGGUGUGAGCUGCUGGAGCCUAGUGGAAGAAGAUGAAUAGGGGGCUAAUCUGAACCGUUUGUUUCCGAUGCUAGGACUGAGAUGCGUCGUCUUAAAUCUAAAGGCCUAUUUGGCAGGGCUCCUCACGAGAAGCUCCUCUGCUUUUUAUUAAAAAACAGUUUCUCCAAUAAAAUGUUUGGCAGAACUCCUCUAUAGAGCCAGAACUGAAACCGGAGAAGAGCUCUGCCAAACAUGCCAUAAAUCUCACGUGCCUAGAAUAUAGCAACAUCUUCUUUUUUUUUAGGGAAUUGAGGGAGCUAAUAAAUGCCCUAUAGGAAAGGAUGCUUUAAAAAGAACAGGACCAAGUUUUACAAAUGAGAGGACGUGCAUGGACGUGUACCGCUCAGUAUGACGUAUUGACGUGUGAUCUGCCGUCGUCGUUGAAUGGACAUGGAUAGGAUGCACGGGAGUACGACAGCAGGUUUCAAACACCUUACCAGAAUGUCGAGCUUGCCGUCGAAGGUGGCCUUGACAGUCUCCAUGAGCCUCUCCCGGUCGGCACGCACGGCGAGGUCACAGGCGGAGACUGUGACUUGCAGGCCCUUGUCGGACCACCGCCGGCGGCACGCCUCAAGGUCAGCCGCGCUGCGCGAGCACGUGUGCACCCGCACGCCGAACGCAGCGAGCUCCUCGACGAUGGCGUGCCCGAUCCCCUUGCUGCCGCCGGUGACCAGCGCCGUCGCGCCCGCCAGGCUCCACCGCUUGCCCUUGUCAAUCUCGCUGCCGCCGGCCGCCAUGGCCCUCUCUCUCCCUCCGAUCCGUACCAGUCGUCUACGCAAGUAUUGCUAGGUAGCUAGGUAGCUGCUUCAGUAACUCGGUGCUUUGAGAGCAAACAGUAGACACCACACGAAAAUCUGGUAGCGAGCUGUGUGUCGCCUAUCCGAUCCGACGCCAGUCGCUACACGUCGUGGAAAUUGGCGACGCCAGAAGAGUGUAUUUUACACGCUUUUGUUUCCAGCCGUUCAUUUGGUCGAUAAUAUCUGGACAAGACUUGAGCGUCUGUUCCUUGCAUUGAAAAAAAAGACAGGGAGGGCUGUGGGUAGGCAAUUACUAUUUUUUAGCAAUAGUAGAUAUAUGUAUCCGUGCGUUGCGCGGUGGUCAUAACUUUUUUAUCCACAUCUACUAUAUAUGCAGGAUUUGAUCGUUUUCAGAACAUAAUAAAAAGUAAACGAUUGCACUUGGAACCUAAACUAUUUUUAAAUGCAUUUAGGCUAAUUCACGCGUAUGCUAAAUCUUUUGUCUAGAUCGAGUACGACCCUCACAUGCAUCUAGCCUCUAUCGAUCUGCACACGCAGAUUGAUAUUCCUUACUUUCACUGUUACAAGACCGACCUCUAGUCCCAGAUUGUGAGCCGAGAUAAAGGUUUCGAGACUAAAUGCCCCGCCUUUAAAUUUAGUCCUGAUGUGCAGACCUAGGACUAAAGGGGACCUUUAGUCCUCUUGGUAAUACCAACCGGGACAAAAGUGCUCGCCACCAACUGACGUUGGUAUUACAAGCCGGGACUAAAGGUUUUUUUUCCUUUUUCUUUUCAAUUCAUUUUUUAUUUUGGUUUUCAAUUAUAUUGUUUUCCAAAUUAUUCUUCGCUGCUAUUAUCUGUAUACGUUGCACCUAUACGAGAGCGUUAUUAUUGCACACAAGUAAAGUAUGAAACUAAAUAUAUAUUAUAGAGCUAUACAUAUACGUACAUACACAUUACAUUUACAAUAAUAUACAAGUAAUCAAGUGUGUUCGGCCGCCGGUUAAAGGUUGUACAAAUGUUUGCCCUCCACUCAAAGCUCAUACAAGUGUUUCUCCUUGUUUGCACUAUUCAAUCCCAACCUAGGGUUGUAGUGGAACUUGACGUCUUUUGAGAUGACAUAAUCGUUGAUGAAACUUGUGAUCGUCUCCUGGAUUGCGACGAGUAUUGUGUGGUCGAACACUUGUUCUUUCAAUUCUCACUCCUUCCAUUUGCAUUAAUUAAAGAAAAAAAAUAUUAAUAUACAUAAGAUUUAUCUUGUUUCAACAAAUAAAUAAGAUAUGAAUUUAAUGUAUACACAUGUUACUUACUUUGAGCAUCUGUUUAGAAGGUGUAAAUUUGGUACACCGCAUGUACUCGCAAACGUAGUAUCCACAUAAAUUGGUACCAUACGGCUGCCUGGGCACCCACCUAUGUAGAAUAGGAACGGGAAGUGGCGCUUUCAGAUUCGUACGAGAUAUCUUUGUAUGAACCAAGCCCAAGCCCUGCCCAAUAAGUCGGUCGUUGAUUAGGUAUAGCAUAGUAAAGUAAAAUAGCAUGUCCGAUAUUUAAAGAAUGAUAUAACGUACCUCUAGAUCAUGUCUAUCAUGUCUUGGUACAUUGCCAGCUCUUUUCUCAUUGAGUUCCAAACACAUAUACAUUGGUCCUUGAUCUUAAUCUCAAUGAGUAUCCAGUAGAGUCAAUCUAUAUAUAUAUAUCUUAAUGCUGGAUUCACUAAGACAUGAUAUAACACAACAAUUUACCCAUAUUAUAAGGGAAGAGUAUUAAGUCCUUGUGCCUUUGGUUAUAAAAGAACCUCCGGAGGUUCUUCUCCAUUUCCUUAGGCCUCAGAUUAAAUGGAUCGUUAGUCUUGGUGUCCUUGUACACGACGUAGGGAUCAAUAAAACCAAUUCGAUCAUCUUGUUUCAAUCUAAGUUCUCUCAUCAUGUGUCUGCAUAUCGUGAGCAUAGUAAUUACGAAUACGUACAUAUGCUAGAGUGAAAUUAUCGAUUAAAAGGAAGAAUCACUUACAAACAGUAGCAACAAAUGAGAGAUUUAUCGAGAGCAUCCAUAUAUAGAGAAGCUGUUGUACUUCACUAAACUGUACCCACAUGACGUCAUCUCUAAGAAAGUAGUGACGGUCUCCGACUUGGACGCCAAUAUAUUGUUCAAGUUCAUGUUGUCGACAGAAACUCAUGUAGUACUCGUGCAGCUUGUACAUUUGCGUACGAAGUUGUUUUACAUUUGUAGGGUUGCAUAGACUCUUGCUAAAUCUAUACUGCCACUGCCAUUCAUCAACAACUUCGGCUUCUUUAACACAAAUUAUAAUUUCAUGAUAAAUAUUUAUAAAAAUAAUGAUUGAUUAAUUGAUAUAUUGAUUCAAUCGAUAAAUAUUAUUAAUUAAUUUAGUUGAUAACAUUAUAUAUUUGUUGAAUUGAGUGAAUAUUGGAAUAGACAUAUGAAUCGAGACAUUUGUUUUAUAUUCGUAUUCUAUAAGAUCGUCUGUAUUUGAAUCCCAGGAGCUUGGCUAUAAGUGCGCAUGGAAAUUGAAGUCUUGUAUGUGUACUCUGUCAAGAUUGGUGUUAACGUGAUCCUUCUCAGGGUCAUGGCUCCGUGCUAAAUAGAGCCAGGAACAGCCCGUGGCAUGAUUUAUAUCUUGUACAACAAGUUGAUACAUAUUAUCUCUAUCUUUACAUAAUUAUGCUACAAGACUACAACUAACUAGCCUAUACUUCAGGAGCCGCAACACCAUGCAAUGGAUAGUAACAACCUCGGUUAUACCUGAUGAAGAUUAGAUAUUUUAACACUCCCUGUCAAUCACAACGCAUCAGUUAAAUUGAGAUUGUUCCUAAACUUCAUUAUCAGUCUUUCUGGGAGUGCUUUGGUAAACCCAUCUGCUAUUUGAUCCGUUGUGCUGAUGAACCUAAUAUCCAAGAGCUUGGCUGCAACUUGUUCUCUCACAAAAUGAUAAUCAAUCUCGAUAGGUUUUGUGUGUGCAUUAAAUACUGGAUUAGCGGACAAGUACUUGGUGCCAAUAUUAUCACACCACAAACAAGCUGCUUAAGGAUGUGAAAUUCCAAGUUUAUGAAGUAAUUUUUGUAUCCACAUUACCUCAGCAGUUGCAUUCGCCAAGGACUUGUAUUUGGCCUCAGUACUAGACCGUGACACUGUUGCCUGUUUCCUAGCACACCAUGAUAUCAGGUUACAACCAAGGAAUACAGCAAAGCCUCAUGUACACCGUCUAUAUUAGGAAAGCCGGCCCAGUCUGUGUCUGAGAAAGCACCCACAAGCGUAGAGUUAGACUUUCUAAUUUUUUAUACCCAAACUAAUUGUACCCUGAACAUAUCUCAAAAUUCUCUUUACCGCCUUGGUGAAGAAGAAACUGACAAACUUUGUCCACUGAAAAGGAUAAAUUCGGUCAUGUCAGAGUGAGAUAUUGGAGUGCACCAACAAUACUUUGUAUCUAGUAGAGUCUUCAGUUCCUAGCUGAGUUCCAUCAGUGACUGAUAACUUCUGAGAGACACAAAGUGGUGUCUUCACUAGCUUACAAAGUUGCAUAUUUACUCUUUGUAAGAUCUUAGAAGCAUACUGUUCAUGUGGCAGCAGUAGUUCACCCUUCUUCCCCUGCACUUGUAUUCCCAAGAAAUAGUGCAGUUCUCCAAGAUCCUUGUUUCCAAAAUCCUUCUCAAGGUCCCAGAGCAAUGCGUCUAUAGCUUCCUGUGAAGAACUAGCCACUAUGAUAUCAUAUGUGUUCGUGUUGCAAGCGGGUGGUGCUUGUUACUCUUUGAGGUUGCCACCUCCUAGACAGCUUGGUGGCUUGUGACUCUGUCGAAGCAUGUAAGGAGAUUGUGUGGUGCUCCGGACAAGAGAUUGUGAGGGGUACGGUGCUCACCCCAUGGGGAUCGCGAAGAGCAACUCUAGUGGAUUGCUUGUGGCUUGGAGGAUCCCCAUCUUGAGAGUGGAUGUGUGGCACCUGCUGAGAGUUUGGCUUCAGAUUGCCAAUUAGCUCGUGAUCCAUCAAGUGGGCGAAUCGCCACAACGAGGACGUAGCUUUGGGGUAACCAAGUGAAUCUCGAUAAAAAUCAAUGUGUCAACAUUGUCUACUCUUCACGGUUUUUUGCAUUUGCUAUACACGAGCUUAUAUUUAUAUUUUUUAUAUACUUGUGCUUGUGUAGUUGCUUUUGUAAUUAGUUAGCUUGUGUAGCUUGCUAGUUACCUUCUUGCUUGUGUAGCUAGAAGUAGUUCCCUUGAGUGGCUAAUUUGGUUUGUGUAACCUUGUUAGUCACAUUGCUUAGUUUGUGUAGCUAAGUAAUUUGCGCUCUCUAAUUUGGCAUUGGUUGCCUUGUUAUUGAGCAUUGCUAGUGAGCUUAGGAGCUUUGUGCUUUUGCUUACUAGUUGUGUAGGAGCUCUCUCGGUUUGCAAAGUACUAGUGGCAUCGGUUUGUAUGACCUUGCUCCUAGAAUUGGUUAGGUGAGCUCUUGCUAAGGAAGCACCUUGUUUGCUUGUUUAGGAUCUUUUACAAGGUGCUAGAGAACAUAGAUAAAGGGGUGUAGUCUUGGCUAAACCGGUAGUUUUAAUUCCGCAUUUGUCUCGGUUAGCCGGCGUGAUAAGUUUUAGAAAGGACUAUUCACCCCCCACCUCUAGUCCGCCAUCUCGACCCUACACCAGAGUGCGGCCGGAAGGGACAGGUGGCGAGCGCGGAGAGGACGUGUUGGAUCCCAACACGGGCAACAAAAGGACGGAUGACAGAGCCAGAUCCGAGGAUGCUGGCACAAGCAGAUUAGCAGGUGUAUCGACAUUGGAGUCCACGCUUGUCCUUGCCAAAAAAGGAAAGCUCCCAGGGAGCAUGAAAUCAUGGUCGUUUGGGGGCAAAGUGGCAUCAAUUUGAUCCAUAUUUUCAGCAGAACCUGCACGCUCAUGACACGGAUUAGUGGAUAGGGAACCAUUACCAAAAGAGGUAGAAGAAUUGUCGUCCCUAGAGUGUGAUGAGGGAUUUAGAAAUAGAAGGCUGGGUGGGAGGAGUAAAAUUUCAGAUUUUAGCCGAGCGCCUACAUUUGGGUGGAGAUGAGCAAAAAGAUAUAUACUCAUCAAACACUACGUCAUGAGAAAUAUGGACAUGACCUUCAAAGACAUCUAAACACUUGAACCCAUUGUGCAUAUUAGUAUAGCCAAGAAACACACUUUGUUUUGACCGAAACUGCAAUUUGCAUGAGUUAUAUGGACGCAAGUUUGGCCAACAUGCACACCCAAAGGUUCUAAGCAUAGGAUAGUCAGGUUUCAGGUGGAACAGGCGCUCAAGAGGAGUCUGAUCUUGUAUGACCUUGCUAGGGAGAUGAUUUAUCAGAUAGGUGGCAGUAAUGAAGGCUUUGUCAAUAAACUUCAAGGGCAUGGAAGCAUCAGCAAGCAAGGAGAGACCGACUUCUACUAUGUGAUGAUGCUUUCGUUUGGUAGAUCUAUUUUGCUGAUGUGCAUAAGGACAUGAAACAUGAUGAGAAAUGCCUAUGCGCUGAAAGAAGCCAAUUAAUUUUUGGAUUCACCUCCCCAAUCGGUUUGGAUGGCUAGAAUUUUUGUGUUAAGUUGCCUUUCUACCAUAGAUUGGAAAUCAUGAAAUUUUUGGAAAACUUCAGAUUUAUGAUGCAACAAAUAGAUCCAAGUGAAUUUACUGAAGUCGUCAAUAAAAUUAACAUAAUAAUCAUUCUUUCCGACAGAGGUCGGUGCAGGACCCCAUACAUCCAAAAACACAAGUUCAAAAGGAAUUGAUGACACACUAGUUGAACUUGGGUAGGGUAAUUGAUGACUUUUACCCUUUUGGCAAGCAUCACAUAUAGUGUCUUUAUUGGACUCAAAAAUAAGUGGAAUAUGACUCUUGCUAAGGACUUGGCGAACUAUUGCAGAAGAUGGGUGGCCGAGGUGACUAUGCCAUCUAGACGACGAAGACUUGGCGGCACCAUACGUUGCUUUAUUGGAAGUAGACCUAGAUGACUUUAGUGGAUAGAGACCUCCCUCGCAGUUCCCCCUAAGGAGUGUUUUUUCUUGGAUUGGUCCUUAGUCAAGAAAUAACUUGGAUAAUAUUCAAUAAAAACGUGAUUAUCGGAUGUAAGACGAUGAACAGAAGCAAGGUUCUUUCUAGCCUCAAGAACAUAAAGAACAUUGUUUAACAUGAGAUUUCAAUCUGUGGUACGAACGAAACUCAACCUAUUUGAUUGAUUCUCAUACCUAAACCACUUGCCAUGUGAACCUGAUCGGUGCCGCGGUAUUUGUCCCUCACGGUGAGUUUUUCCAGUUCUCCCAUGAUAUGAUCAGUAGCACCGGUAUCGGUGUACUAAUUUGUAUCCACAUUGUAGGAUGUGGUUGCUGUUGACGCCGAGUGCUUCUUUGGCUGCCCCGUAAAGGAGGCAUCAAAGCGUUUGAAGCAGCAGAUGAUGGUGUGUCCCUCUCUGCCACAGAGCUGGCAGAUGUCAGCAUUGGUGUUCUGUUGAUGACGUUUGUUGUUGUCGGUGCCGCCGUUGUUGCCGCGGCCGCAUCCACGACCACGACCACAACCGACCCCGCCAUGGCUGAAGCACCAUGGCCACCAUGUGUAGUAGUGUUGGCCGAUGAUCCAGAGCCACCAUCUUGUUGCAGAUUGAUCCACUGCUCCGAGCUCACCAGCUGGGUGUAGAGUUUGGCGAGUCUCAGCGGCUCCACGUGCACUGAUAUUGAGGAGACUACAGGGUUGAAAUCCAUGUCGAGGCCCGCCAAGAUGUAUAGGAUGUGAUCUCAUCAUCUUCUAGCUUCUUUCAUGCAGAUGCCAUAUCAUCGGCAAGAGAUUUGAUUUUACUGAAAAAAUCAGCAAUGGUGGAUGACCCCUUCUAUGCAUUGGCAAGUGUUAUGCGCGUGUUGAUGAUCCGGCCGCGAGAUUGCGAUACAUUCAUGUCUUGGAUGGCCUUCCAAACUUCAGUAGAUGUGGUGCACGUGGAGAUUUGCACCAUGACCUCCUUAGAUACAGAAGACAACAUGUAAUUGAGAAUUUGUUGAUCCUUUGCAUACUAGGUCUCAUACUUCGGAUUGGAGAUGAGUUCAUCAGGCUUGGCCGUGGACUUGGCUAUCUUCAUGGGCGGUGCCACUAUCUCAGGAUCAAGGUAGUGGCCAAGCUGGGCGCCGCGGAUCACCGAAAGGACCUACAUGCUCCAGAGUAGGAAGUUGUUCUACCCUAGCUUCUCCGAGAUGGGGCAUCCGAUCAGGGAGAACACAACAGGUACCGCGGAGGAUGAAGCCACGGAUGAGUUUGUGGAAGUAAUCAACUCUGAUACCAUGUCAAGAUUGGUGUUAAUGUGAUCCUUCUCAGGGUCAUGGCUCCGUGUUAAAUAGAGCCAAGAACAGCCCCUGACGUGGCUUACAUCUUAUACAACAAGUUGAUACAUAUUAUCUCUAUCUUUACAUAAUUAUGCUACAAGACUACAACUAACUAGCCUAUACUUCAGGAGCCGCAACACCUUGCAAUGGAUAGUAACAAGCUUGGUUAUACCUGAUGAAGAUUAGAUAUUUCAACAUACUCCUCAUAGACAUGUACAUGCAAGCUCUUGAAAAAGGGAUAGUCCUCACAAAAAAACUUGUUGUUUCAUAGUAUGACAAUGAUGAUGAGUCAUACUUCAUAAUUGUUGAGGUGGCAAUUUGGAUAUUGAUUUUUGGGUUAUAUGUUAGUUUUAUAAGACAAAGUAGGUGGAAUAUUUUUUAAAGAACUAAAUAUAUCUGAAUCAAUGUGUUAUGAAAAAAAGGUUCAAUUUAAUAUAAGCCCGCUAGGUGUUGGUCUCCCCCACGAGCUUUAGUGGGCUGGGCCUAGAUAGGAUUCCAGCUACCUAGGAAAAAUUUCGGACCAUGCUCGCCCACUCUCAAUCUACAUCCAAAGCAUGCCACCAUGCUCGCCCGCUCUCACAUCUUUGCUAUGCCGCACUAGCCAAGAUUGAGAAGGAGAUGAUCGUGAAAAGGAUGAGUAGAGAGAUUUAGGUGGGAAUAAAAUGAUUGCUCACAAUAUGAUUAUUGGACCUACAUGAAAAAACUAUGAGAGCUGUAGUUUCUAUACGUGAUGUCUAAUGUCUUACCACUAGGAACUCGUAUAGAAACUAUAGUUUGAGUCUAGUCUGACACAGCCAUUAGGUAGAUGUGGAUCCAGAUGCUCUGAGGUCUUAAUAAUUAGAUUCCCAUUAAGGCAGUAGUAGUACUCGCUCUUGCCCAUGUGCACAACUCAGACUCAACGGACACAAGAUGGUUGCAAGAGAACACGGGAAUCACGACGAGGAUAAAGAAAUUGCAUGCCUCCUUGUCAGUCAUCGCUGGCGGUUCUCUAAACAUAUGAAGGAUAUAUAUAUUUACUCAUAGCUAGCUUGGAAAUUAGAAUCGUGCAUGUGAUUAGCGACAUAUGCGGUGGCUUUUGUAUAUAGCUGUCUUAAGGUCGGGACUGAGAUUCGGUUUCUGUCAAGUGUUUUUCUCUCAUAAUAAAUCAAUAAUAAUAAUACUUUCAGCUAUGACUUUUUAGUCAACGCUUCCAAUGAAUAGUAUAGUCAGCGACAACAAGCAUGAUUUCCCAUAAGUUUGGCAUCUCCACCAAUCUCUCCUUCUGUCUGCUGCCAUGUCCUAGGCACCUAGGUAGCAAAGCUAGGCACCAUUGCAUCCACCACCAUCACCAGCUAGUCUCUCCAAACAAGAGGGUUAGACAGAUAUCCACAGAGAGUGUAGCGGUGGUCGGAGAUGGACGCCCCGGGCGCCCUGGACUCCUUCCUUGGCCGCCUCACCACCGUCCUUGUCAACGAGGCACAGCUCCUCGGCAGUGUUCGUGGCGACGUGGAGUUCAUCAAGGACGAGAUGGAGAGCAUGAACGGCCUGAUCCUCCACCUCACCGAGGCCCAGCACCGUGACCACCAGGUCCGGGCGUGGAUGAAGCAGGUGGUUGGCCUCACUCGGGACUGCGAGGGCAACGUCGAGCACUACAUCCACUACGUCGGCAGCAGGCCCGACGACGACGGCCUUCUGGGACACCUCCGCCGUGUCCUGCGGUUCCUGCGGACGAUACCAGUCCGCCGCCGCAUCGCGACGCGGAGGUCCGCGCACGGGACGUCGGUGACAGGCGGCAGAGGUACGGAGUCACCGUGCCUGCGUCAACCCCAGGACCAACAUAGAUGUUGUGGAUAUCGAGCCUGCCAAGGAGGAGGAAGAUCUUGGCCGACGCUCUAUUCUGCUUUAUGGUGCUGAACCUCCAGACAAUGAUGAGGUGGGUAUGGUAAGGAGAGGGAUCGAUACUCUGGUCAAGGGGCUGUCCAUGGAACCAACAACAGAAGAUGAAGAUGGUGCCCCGCCGCCACAAGUAAGGGUGUUCAGUAUUUUAGGGACUGAAUUGGCAAGUGAAGUUGCAGAGGGAGUGUACCAUCAGCAUUUGUCUGUGGCCACCUUAUUCUGUUGUAAGGCCUCGUCCUACUGUUACAGAGAUGUAGGAACGGGACUUACCAAGAUACUGAAACAAGUAGGAGAUGUUCAACUUCAGCCUGGCCAAGAAGAAGACGAGGCAACAAACCAAGCCUUGAUCAUGGUUAAAGGCAAGCGCUUCUUGAUCAUGGUACUAGAUGUUUCUCGCCAUUUCAUCAGCACAUGGAAGCGCAUGCUAGAUGCUCUGUUACAAGCUGCCGAUGGGUGCCUUCCUGGUAGCGCCAUAAUAGUGACCACAUAUGACUAUGAGCUGGCCCUGUUGUCUUCUCCCUACAAAAUCAUCAACGCUAGUGGUACAAAAUUUAAAUAUGCAUAUGAAUAUGAGUUCGACUUCUACACAGAUCAAGUGAUAAACCUGGGUGCAAACUACAACUGUAAUCAUGGCUUUUUUGAACUUUGCAAGUUCGACACCUUUGCAAUGAGGACGUUCCUGCAUCUGCUCUACUCUAAUCCAAACAGGACAAAAGACGAAGUCCAGAAUUAUAAAAACACUAUCGAAGAGUGCAGACGGCUCAAGAGAAGCAUUUCCAAGCAAGUGCUGCUAUGGUGCUACAAUGAGUUGCCUAGCAAGUACAGGAGCUGCUUGCUGUACCUCACUGUUUUCCCAGAAGUCGAUGUCAUCAGGACUAGGAGCUUGGCUAGAAGAUGGUUUGCCGAGGGCUUGAUCACUGCUACUACCACAAGUACUCCAACUGAUGAUGAAAUACGGAGUAGUUGUAGUUCAAUGGAUGAAGCCGAGCAUUACCUGGAUGUGCUUUUCACUGCAGGGUUUGUGUCUCCUGUUGAAAUCGGUGCUGCAGGCAACAUCAAGAGCUGUACACUACAUCGUCAAGUCCGAGAGUUCAUCGCCAGGGUAGCUAUGGAUGUGAACUUUGUGGACUCCAGCCUACCGCCACAUCUGGCUCGCUACUUAUCCAUUCACAGCAGAAUAGGUUUGCAAAAACCUCUUUCAGAUGCUGACAGCAAAGAUAUUGCAGCUUAUCUUCCAUAUUUGUCUGCGUCUCCUCAAUGGCAGCUGUUGAAAGCGCUGGACCUUGAGGGCUGCAAUGGUUUGAAUAAGAAGAAGAUUCUGAAAAGCAUCUGCAAGAUACUGUUGCUGAAGUAUUUGAGCCUCAGGAAUACUGAUGUGACACAACUACCGAAGCAAAUCAAGGAUCUCUGGUGCUUGGAAACACUGGAUAUCCGGCAGACAAAGGUACAGAUUUUCACCAAAAAGACUAUUGUGCUUCCACUUCUGAAACAUUUUCUUGCUGGUGACAAGAUCUCUGUAAGCAAUGACGCUGGAAAAUGUGAUGAAUCAUUUUCUGCAGUGGAUUUGCCCCUUGGCAUCCACAGAAUGAACAACUUGGAGAUAUUGUCCCAUGUCCAAGUCACCAACAGCAGUAGUGAGUUAACUGGCAUUGCUGAGCUUCAGAAACUGAGGAAACUUGGUGUAGCUCUUUGUGGACCAAAUGCCAAGCUGAGUGAUCUGUUUCACCAAAUUAACAGACUGCAUAAAUGCCUUCAUUUCUUGUCAGUCUGGUUUCGUCAACAGGCUUUUGGUGAAAAACAUGAUGCUUUGACCCCUCCAAAUUUCAUCACAAGCCUAAACGUCAGUGGCCUCACUAGUGGCCUUCCUCACAUGAUUCAAGAGCUCCAUCAGCUUGUCAAGUUAACCCUGACAGAGACAUACUUGAAGAAAGAUGGUCUGUGUAUCCUUGGCAAGCUUCGUGGCCUGCGCUUCCUGAGGCUUCAGAACAAAGCAUACAUUGAAAGUGAGCUCUCCUUCAGAAAAGAAGAAUUCCAGACACUCAAUUUUCUGUUCGUCGGAACCAGUAACGUCACCAACAUUAGCUUUGCCCGUGGGGCAGCUCCGAAGCUCGAGAGGAUCAUUUGGUCUUUUCCAACAACCGCAUGCGUUUCUGGACUCGAACACAUCCGUGAGCUGAGGGUGUUUGAGCUCAAUGGUGACUGCAACCCAGAUCAAGUGAGAGAUGAAAUACUGAGUCUUAGAGACUCCAUCUUGGAAUAUAAUCAGGUAUCCUAGAAAUUUUAGACCAAGUUAUUGGUUUAACCAAAUGGCAGAAGUAGCUGUCACUUAACUAUAUAUAGAGAUUACUAUAUCUUGAGUCUGGUAGUUGAUACUUAUGGUAGAUACACAUAUGUGACUGGUGGUUUUUUUUGUUUUGGUGUUGUGUGUGUGGGGGGGGGGGGGGGAUUUAAUUCACGUAAAAUACCAUAUAAUUUGGGAUAAAAAAAUUGAAUAUUAUGUUUCAGGAGAGAUUUAAGGAGAGACUUUGGAAAUUACCUGUCUUCAAGCAUAAUCCACAUGUCCAGCGGCAAGACGACAGAGCUGCGGCAUCAGCCUCGUCAUCAUCAGGUCCAUGAGUACUCAUCACUCUUCGUCGACUCGGAAACUCACUUGGCUAUUUCUCCUUUGAUGUCUUUAAUAAAGAUGCAGCUGACGGGAAAGCCCUGGCCAUCCCCGUUCAGCCUCAUGCAUCACAGACUUUGCAUUCCUUUACAUUAUGUAUGCCAUGCAUGUGUGUUUGGUUUUAGAUCUCUAGACUGGAAACCUUUUUAUCGCCAAUUUAUGGGCUAGUUCGUGUGUAUGUGCGCAACUUGAUUUCUGUAUAUUCUUUUAAUCUGAAUAUUUAUUGUGUGUGAUAACAAUUGCAAAAGAAAUUACAUCUUGUGGCCUUGUUAUGUACUACUCCUUGUACUUUAAAUUGUAAGAUAUUUUGGCUUUUCCUAGAUUCAUAGCUUUUGCUAUGCACCUAAAUAUAUACAUUAUGUCUAGAUGCAUAUUGAAAAUAAUGUAGGUAAAAAAGACAAAAAUGUCAUAUAAUUUAAAAUAGACGUAGUACUACACUAGAACAACUGUGUACUUGUGUCUUUUGGGUCACAUCUCCAUCGCAAUUCGCAAUAGGUGGACUAUGCUUUGGGACUGAACCAGGAUGGUCCCAUGAAAAUGGUGAAACAAAUGGUCAAAUCGCUCGCUAAUCAACUAGUGUUACAUGCAUUUGGUUGAUCUCAUGGACUGAUACUGAAAUACAAGAGUGAGUUGAUAUAAUUGCUGCCAGUGGCGGAGCCACCACUAGGGCGAGCUAGGGCGGCCGCCCUAGGUCCCUGUGGCCGAGCACGCCGAGCACCCCUUCCCCCACCCCUUGGAGCUGGCAUCUAGUGAGGGCGCGAUGAGGUUGAAGACGAUGGCGACACUGGUUGCUUGCUUCGGUUCAGUUUGGCUAUCUGAGAGCGGAGACUGGAGAGCAUCAUGGGCCUUCCUCUUGAGAUUGGGCCACGACCAUUUCCAUUGUGCCGCUCCACGGUUCUAGCUCCCAACAUGAACAAAGAAUGACACACCACCAUGGCUUCACUGCUCGCGUUCACCGAGUCGCCCUCACCAUCCUUGGAUUCAGUUCGGCCAUUCCCUAGGCGCCCAGCGACCGGGCCCCGCUGCCCCAGAGCCCUAGCCGACCGGAGCUCCUGUGGCCGCUCGCUUCCCGCAGCGGCGUGGCUCGCAGCUGGCUGCCCGCGCCCCCUCCUCGUGCCAAGGCUCUCGUUAUUGUCCACUGACACAAAAGCUACUCAUAUGAAUUGCUUAGUCUAUAUUUAUUGUGGCUGAUCUAAGUGGUUCAAAUAACAGCUUCAAAAUUGACAGGUUCUAUACCGUAUUUCUCCAUAAAAACAUGUACUAUUGAUAAUUCUGAUAUUAAAAACUAAUGUUGGUUUUUAUUGGCGGUUUUAUGGCCUUAACAUGCAUGUUGUCAUUGGUUAGUCAAAAUUUCAUAUAAUAAGUUCGCCCUAGGUCAUUUCUUGCCACUAUCUGGUGCUACUUACCCAUAUAUGUAGAUGGAUGUAAUAAGCGGCGUGUUGAGUUGAGUCUGCGGAGCAGGCGCCAAAGCCUUUUUUUGAAUCGCCAGCACAGGGACCCCUUUAGUCGCCGCCGCCUCAGGGUCGCGUCCAGACCACAUCAAGUUGUUCGGUCCUCCGCCGUUCGCUAGCUAGCUCCACCUCUUGCUCCGGCGCAUUAUCCCUGCCGAGCCCACAGCGCCAUCCGCUGCUGCUGGGAAAUAGGAUCGGAUGUGCUUCUUGAUUUGGUCUAGUUGUUUAGAUGGGACUCUCUGAGAAAUAGUAGACCGCAACAAACAUAGUGGACCGACCUAAGAAAUUGUUGUGCCGAGUGUUUGGUUCAUUUUCUAGACAAGCCUAACUAGCAAAACCAAGACAGGCCAACUUUAGCCAGCUUUAGUCAAUGCAAGCAGCACAUGUUUGGUUACCUGUAUUAGCUAAGUCUGGCUACGAAUCAGUGUGUUUGGUUGCAUGUUCUAGUUUGCAUAUAAUCACCUCUUCCUUUAAGUGGUAUGUUUACCCCUUUGAGGACCUUGAUCGAACAAGUGGUGGGCAUGCUCGGCGAGUGGUCGGAACCUGGACCGAUGCUAAGCUCGAAGAUGACGAUAACGGUGAGGAUUGCGCGGUGGAGUUCCCAUAGUCGUCCAUGGUUGUGCUGCUCCUCUAGCCUUUUGCCAUGGUCGUGACUGCAGCACCUCUGCCCAUGAACACUGACGGUGGAUCUGGAGAGGGGGAGAUGGAGCCAGGGCCGGGGGACUUGGGCAAGCUGUGUGGCCUUCAAGCCAGAUGAGGCCCUGGUGGCGUGGGGGAGCGACUCGCCCUCCUGGCGGCGUGGGGGAGCAGCGCGCCCACCCUAGCAGCGGCGAGGAUCAGUAGCAACGUGAGCUCGCCCCGGCGAUAGCUGGGAGGGUGAGGCCUGGGAGCUUCUGGAGCUCCACCCGCAGUUGAGGAAGUAGGGCCACACACCUCCUGGGAGCUCCUCGCCAUCGAGAAAGAUGCGCCAGGAGGAGGAGGUGAGCCGCCCACGGAGAGGGACCGGAAGAACGUCCUCGGGCAUGGUGGCACGGACGCGGACGUGGACGAGGCCUCCUGCUGGCGCGCGGAGGCAGUGGAUGGGGUGCGGCCGGAGCUCCUCGCGAGGUCGACGUGGAACAGCCUGGAGCUUGCGAACCCAUCGAGAAUCUCCCCGGAGAUCCCGCUGUUGUUGGCGAGGAUGAGAACCUUGAGGCUAGGCGAGUCGGACAAGAGCAGCUCGGGCGGUACGGCACCGUCGAGGCGGUUACCCCGAGGUUGAGUGUGUGGAGGUCAGGGAGCCCCACGAGGGAGGCUGGCACGACGCCCGUGAACUGGUUCUCUGCCAUCGAGAGGAGGCGGAGGCGGCAUAGAUCCAUGCCGAGGCCCAACGAGCAGCGUAGCGAGCGUGGAGAUAGCAGCGGGAUACGGGUGGCUCCGACGAACUUGGCGAUGGGAUGCGGGUGGAGGCGUUGAGCUCGAGCAGCAGGAUGCGGUGGAGGCGUGGUGGCCGGUAGGGUAAGGAGAAGGUGAGCGAACUCAUCCACAUCGCGAGCACAAGCCAGGCUUCGAGAGAACGGCCGAAUCAGCCGUUUCAAGGAAGCCAUCCAAAUCCCCCAAUCUGGCUUGCGGUAGUCUGGCUAACAGGCCAAGCAGGCAUCCAAACAAGCCCAACUUGUAUUACAUAAGCCUGGCUAAGCUCUAGUACAGAGAACCAAACACACUCUAUGUGUCCAAAGAUGUAUAAAAAUCUAGAGCACGAGUCCAUGCUGAAAUAGCAUGGUCACUCGCCAUAUGCCGGCGAGCACCCCCGACAGCAUCUGCACUGCACACCGAACAGUGUGCCCAUCGCUAGCAGCUGCGACACGAAAUCCGAAUGGGAUCGAAAGUAAAGAGCCAAGACUCCAGCCCAGAACAGAGAAGUCCUUGCUGGUUCUUAAUUAAUUCCAGCGCGGAGCAUCUGGCUCUUGCCAACAAAUUUGAACCCGUAAGGAAUGUCUUAGGAAGGUGCUGUCCGGAUGCCUUUGCGUUGCUGAUGCUCGUUCAUCUACUUUAUGUCAAUCCUAACUUGUCUAGGGACGAAACCUAAAAUUCACUAGAUUACAACAAAAAAAAGCACUGCUAAUUAAUAGAAAUAAAGAGUGCUCUUGUUCUGCUUCCUGUGUCUACGUAUCUAUCAUCGUGCAGGACCAUAUAGAUGUGUUUGGUUUGUUUUCUAGAUAAGCCUAGCUAGUAAAACUAACACAGGCUUGUACAGGAGAUGGAUUGCUGAAGGCGUGAUAUAUAGCAGAAAGAAACACUACCACAGAAAACGAUAAUGCCAGGUAUGAGAUCAGGAUCGAUGCUUGAAGAUCAAAGCAGAACGCAUCUUGGAUGCGCUAUUCAGUACUCAGUGGUUUUCUUCACCCACGUGGGACAAGCAUUUUAGGCAACACAAGACAAAGAGAUGAUUUUUGGGAUAGAGCAUGUGGCCUGGUUGGAGAUGUUUUUUUUAAAUCGAUAACGCUAGCUGUUCAUGUCGGAUCAUUUUUAUAUUUUAAUCUUUUUUUAUUUAAUAUAAUAAUUAUAAUCGUAUCUAAUUUUUUUUACAAUUCUAAUCUUUUUGGUCGCGCCAUCACAUCUAAAUUUGUUUUUACAGAUUUAAGUUUUUCGGUCACGCUAGUCUCGCAUAGAAAAAGAUAGCGGGCUAUAGCGGCGCUAUAGCUGCUGGACAGGCCUGCCGCUAAGCUAUUUGUAUUUUUUCCGCUAUUACAACUUUCACCGCUAUUACACGCUAUAACGCCGCUAAGUUACAUUUGCUAUGAUAAAUUUCACCGCUAUUACGCGCUAUAGCGCCGCUAUUAUAAAUUUUCUUAGUCUGACUCUCAAAACUCCCUCUUAGACUAGAUUAUCAUUUAUCAGUUACAACUAAUUUGGUAUUUUGAACAAUGAAGUUUUCAUAAACCAUGCUAUAAUGUCACAUUAGUACUUAGUAAUGUUACCUAGACUUAUAAAAACAUAUUUUUAUUCAUCAAAAUUCAUAUUUACCAUGUCUUUUUUAUCAAUUACUCGUGUUUUUCAUGUAUUUUUUAUGAAAACGCUAUCUGUCAUAGCGCCGCUAUAGCACCGCUAUAGCUGCAUAGCUGUUGAAAAAAAGUUGCCGCUAUUUUCAAUAGCCCGCUAUUUUAAACUUUGUAGUCUCGCUAGCGUGACCAAAUAAUGCACAGUCAUGCUACAUAUAUUGGCGCGGCAAGACAUGCCACAUUGGAUGAUGUUUUCAACGUGAAAAACCUUGCCACGUCACUCUCGCUAGCGUGACAUUACAGUGGAUGUGUAGUGCCACGUCCGAGAAGGCCAUCGUCACCAGGCCUGCCAACAUAGUGCGCGAUGUUCCCCUCACGCAGUCUCUUGUGCUUGAAUAUAAGGUCUUGUUUAGUUCGCAAAAAUUUUCAAGAUUUCCCGUCACAUCGAAUCUUUAGUCGUAUGUAUGGAGCAUUAAAUUUAGACAAAAAUAAAAACUAACCACACGGUUUACCUGUAAUUUGUAAGAUGAAUCUUUUGAGCCUAGUUACUCCGUGAUUAGACAAUAUUUAUCAAAUAAAAACAAAAUGCUACAGUACCCAAAAACAAAAAAUUUUACAAACUAAACAAGGCCUAAAUGCAUUCCUCUCUCACCUCAAACAUGUACAGCGAAUCCUUCAGUUUUCUCAAUAUGCGAGUUGAAAUCUCCAUCCUUAACACCGGCAUAAAAACUUUCGCUCAUGUGGGUUUGAUGUGCUAAAUAUUUUCAAUUUUUAUUUUUUUAAUAUUUAAAUUGUGCCAUUGAACAAUCUGACGCUAUAUAUAUGUAGAUCAUUGGAUGAUCUGACGGUAUAUGUUUGGCCAAGGAGUGUCUGACACUAAACAUUGCCAUGAGACUAUUUGACGCUAAAAAAUUACACAGCAACAGACUAUCUGACGCUAAAAGUCUGGUCUGACGCUAUAUGUUUUUAGCGUCAGCACUUACUGCGUCUGCAGAAGUCUGACGCUAUAUGUUUUUAGCGUCAGGCCGCAUGACGUUGUAGCGACUUUCAGCGUCAGAUCAUCCAACGCCAAAUCUGGUGUUGUGGUGUAGUGGCUGCUCCUCUCUCUGUUCCCAACUUCCCAUCCCCCUCCGCCUCCCACCACAGCAGCUUGAGCCCCAUUCGUUGCGUUGAGGAAACGCCGUCAAUUCAUCACUCCAGUACGAGACAAUAAUGCAAAGUAUUUGUUGGUGACUUUUGUUGUUUUUCUCUCUUGUGUGCUUGGAGAACUUUUCACGACAUAUUUCGAUCUUGCAUACUUCUCUAUUCUCAGUUGCUGUCUUUUCUUGAUAGCUAUACGAUGCGAUAGGAAUGCCACGACAUAUAUUUAUAGUAAUAAUUGUUUUUCGGAAAAUAUUUGUUGUAAGGAAUGAUUAAUUAGCUGGGAUAUUCAUUGUACAUUUCAAUUUUAGUGUACCAGUAUAACUUUGUAACAGUGAGGUCUUGUAUUAUACGCACGGGAACUCAUCGGUGUUGUACAUCUUGCCGGUUUCUGGAGGGUCGUUGGUUGUUGCGGCCUCUUGAUAGGCAGCAACUUUUGUUUGUUAAACAGAAAAUAUAGUUGCGUUCUACGUCGUUGUUCCUUGGUUUUUUGCUCGGGACUUGUUUAGAUCUAAUUUUUACGUAUAGGAUGAAUAGACUUGGGAUACGAUGUGACGAGUAUUUCAGUCGAAUCCCAGAUCUUUGGUGAUGACUGAUCCAGCUCGCAUCCUUGGUUUUUUACUCGGGACUUGUUUAGAUCUAUUUUUUUUAGAUUUGGAUACUGUAGAUUUAUCUCGUAAAUUACAGACAAACUGUGUAAUUAGUUAUUUUUAAUCUAUAUUUAAUGUUCUAUACAUAUGCCGUAAGAUUCGAUUUGACAAAAAAUCUUGAAAUCUUUUAAAUUUUUGGGUGGAACUAAACGAGGCCUCAGAUCUGGCAUGGGGACCGGCCCCUGCCCUGCCUGCCCCCGCCGCCCCACGGCCUCGCCGAGCCGGCGACCACCGCCACCCAGCCAAGCCGCCCAGCUCUGACUCCCCUGAGCCCUCACCCCUCUGCAGUUUGGCUCCAGACUCCACUGCUGCAGGUCUCCAGCAGGCAGCACCCGCAGCAGUCACGGUGAGAGCCCCCAGUCCCCAGGCGCUGCUGAAUACAUACUGAAUAGUGAAUACAGAUGACAGAUGCCUUAGUUUUGUUUGAUUUCAUACAUAGUUUCUAAUAACUGCAUUUUACUUUGCAAAUUUCAAAUGUAGGGGAUAAAAGGCUAGACCGCUAGAAUGGAAAAGUAUUACGCUGAAAAGAUUUAUCAAGCUUUGAGCAUGGGGGUCCAAGGUGUGAAUUUUUCAAGACUGAAGACAUGUGAUUUUUUGGGGUUAUGGAAGGCUCUCUUUAUUUGGUACUUUUCUAUCCUCAUUGUUCUAUGUAUUGUUUGAGCGCUCGAUGCUAAUCUUUUUUAUAUCUAUUAUUCUGCGGCUAGAUAGAUUUCUAGUCUUGUAUUAUUUAGCCCCUCUUUUAGUCGGUUCCUAGAUCCGCCACUGGACAAGAGAUGGACUUACUGAGAUCGAUUUACCAAAUCCAUCGUUGUUAUCAAUAUGUUUUCCGUUGUUCACAGAAGAAAAUAUGGUAGGUAAUAUUUGUCCAUUGAGCAUAUAAGAAGUGCAGCCGCAACAUACCAGACAAAAUAAAAUCCAAAUGACACAUAAUUAAUUUAAUUUAGAUCAAUAUAUUUAAAUAUGAUUCCCAUUUUUAUUUCUUCUAUGCCCUAGUGUGUUAGAGUUGCUUCUUAUGUUUGGUGCUUGUGUACUAUUCUUACACAUCAUAGGACACACAGGUUUGUUCAUGUCAUCGAACAAAUGUUAGAGUUGUUUAUGUUUGGUGCUUGUGUACUGACGCAGAUAUAUACAUGACUGCUGACAUAUUCCCUAGCAGCGGCGGACGACGGACGGCAGAGAGGGCUCGCCAAGGAUAAGUAGUAUAGCAGGAUGGCGGUUAUAAUGGCGGCUGUGUAAUUGUUGGCGAUUCGAGGAAGGCUCGGUGCUUGCUACUCAACUCUACAUGUCGCUGUAUUAAAUCCCGUUACAUACAGGUAAGAAGUAGCAGAAUACUAUAGCAACUUACUCUUGUAUUUUUUUUUUUUUUGACGAAGCUGGAGGGGUUUACACCCCUACAGGAAUUCUAUUGAAAGCAACUUACUCUUGUAUUUCAGUAUCAGUAUCAGUAUCAACCCAUUGACAUCCUUACAUGUAAACUAGUCAAUUACCGAGGCAUUCCACCAUUUGUUUCACCAUUUUCAUGGGAAAGAUAUACAUAGUCCACAUGUUCCAACAGUUGCGAGAUACAGUACAACCCAAAAGGCACUAAAGUACACAGCUGUUCUAGUCUUGUGCAGAGUAGUGCAUAACAAGGCCACUAGUUGUAAAUCAUCUCACACAACUGAAAGAACAGAGAUACAUCAAUUCGCACACAUACACACGAACUGGCACACUUGUUCACAGAAAAGCAACAACAAGAUAAAAGGGUUUCUAGUCAAGAGACCGAGAACGACAUACAGGCAGACAAAUAACUGAAAAGAUACGAACACCUCACACCUGCAGUGCAAACUGAUGCAUGAGGCUGAACGGGGAUGGCCAGGGCUUUCCCAUCAGCUGCAUGUUUAUUCAAGGAAAUUAAAUGAGACAUACCCAAGUGAGCUUCGAGUUGACGAACAGGAAAUGAUUGAACUCAUCAUAGUGCUGAUGAGGAUGAGGUUGAUGCUGCAGCUAUGUCUUCUUGCUUCUGAACAUUUGGAUUAUGCUUGAAAACAGGAAGAUUCCCAUGCCUCUCGAUUUCUUUUCUCACUUGAUCUGGGUUGCAGUCACCAUUGAGCACAAACUCCCUAAGCUCAGGAAGGUGGUCGAGUCCAGACACGCAUGCAGUUGUGGGAAAAGACCAAAUGAUCCUCUCGAGCUUUGGAGCUGACCCACAAGUGACAAAGGUAAUGUUGGUGACGUCAGUUGUUCCGACGUGCAGAAACUUGAGUGUCUGGAAUUCUCCUUUCUUGAAGGAGAGCUCACUUUGUAUGUAUGAUUGGUGCAGAAGCCUGAGGCAGUGCAAGCCAUGGAGCCUACCAAUGGUACUCAGAUCAUCUUCCUUCAAUUGAGCCUUGGUCAGGGUUAAGUUGGCAAGAUGAUGGAGCUGUUGAAUCAUGUGAGGAAGGCCACUAGUGAGGCCACUAAUGUUUAGGCUUUCAAUAAACUUUGGAGGGGUCAAAUCACCAUGAUUCUCACUAGCAGCUGGUUGGUCAAGCCGGACUGACAAGGAACGGAGGCUUCUAUGCAGCUGCUCAAUUUGGCGGAACAGAUCGCUAAGCUUGGCAUUUUUACCACGAAGAGCUAUACCAAGUUUCCUUAGUCUCAACAGCUCAGCGAUCCCAGAUAGCUCAACAGCGCUGUCGGUGACUUCGACAUGGGACAAUAUCUCCAAGUUCUUCAUUCUGCAAAUGCUGAGAGGCAUAUCCACUGCUGAAAAUUCCGUAGCUUCGUUGCUUACAGAGAUCUUGUCACCGGCAAGAAAAUGUUUCAGAAGUGGAAGCACAAUAGCCUUUUUGGCGAAAAUCCGUACCUUUGUCUGCCUGAUAUCAAGUGUCUCCAAGCACUGGAGAUCCUUGAUUUGCUUCGGUAGUCGUGUGACAUCAGUAUUCCUGAGGCUCAAAUACUUGAGCAAUAGUAUCUUGCAGAUGCUUUUCAGAAUCUUCUUAUUCAAGCCUUUGCAACCCUCUAAGUCCAGCACUCUCAACAGCUGCCAUUGAGGAGACACAGACAAAGAUGGAAGAUAAGCUGCAAUAUCUUUGUUGUCACCAUCUGAAAGAAAUUUUUUGAACCCUAUUCUGUUGUGAAUGGAUAGGUAGCGAGCCAGAUGUGGCGGUAGGCUGGAGUCCACAUAGUUCACAUCCGUAGCUACCCUGGCGAUGAACUCUCGGACUUGACGAUGUACUGUACAGCUCUUGAUGUUGUUUGCAGCACCGAUUUCAACAGGAGACACAAACCCUGCAGUAAAAAGCACAUCCAGGUAAUGCUCGGCUUCAUCCAUUGAACUACUCCGUACUUCAUCAUCAGUUGGAGUACUUGUGGUAGUAGCAGUGAUCAAGCCCUCGGCAACCCAUCUUCUAGCCAAGCUCGUACUCCUGAUGACGUGGCCUUCUGGGAAAACAGUGAGGUACAGCAAGCAGCUCCUGUACUUGCUCGGCAACUCGUAGUAGCACCACAGUAGCACUUGCCUGGAAAUGCUUCUGUUCCGGCUUACGCACUCGGAAAUAGACUUUAUAUACUUCUCCAGGUCGUCUAGUGUCUUAUUUGGAUUUACAUAGAGCAGAUGCAGGAAUGUCUUCAUUGCAAAGGUGUCGUACUCGAAUAAUACUCUAAAGAAGUGACGACAGUAUUCUCCACCAAAGAGACCCAGCUGUUGUGCUUGGUCCAUGUAGAACUCAUAUUCAUAUUCAUAUUUUGUACCCAUAGCGAUGAUGAUUUUGUAGGGAGAAGACGACUGGGCCAGGUCAUAGUUCUCUGUUGUCAUUAUUAUGGCGCUACCAGGGAGGCACCCAUCAGCAGCUUGUAACAGAGCUUCUAUUACGCACUUCCAUUCGUUGAUGGAAACCCAAGUAGAAUCUAAUUUGAUCAAGAAGCGCUUGCCUUUAAGACGCUCCUGAAUUUCACUGAUGAGUCGCUUCUCCCUGUCCUCGUGGACUAUCAUCCCUGCUACUUGGUUUGUUACCUUGUAUUCUUUUUGGCCAGGUUGAAGUUGAACACCUCCUACUUGUUCCAGUAUCUCGGCAAGUACCCUUCCUACAUCACCUUUGUAGCACUGGGACUGGGACGAGGCCUUGCAACUGAAUAUGGAGGAGGCCACAGACGAAUGCUGCUUGUACACUCUCGUUGCAACUGCAGACGCCAAUUCUGUCCCUAAAAUACUGAAAAUCCUCACUUGUGGCGGCGGCGCACCAUCUACUGUCGUUGCUGGUUCCAUGGACAACCACUUCGUCAGAGAAUCGAUGCCUCUUCUUACCACCUCCUCAGCAUUGAGUAGUGGAGGUUCAGCAGCAGCAUCACGUAGAAGAGCGCGUCUCCGAAGAUCUUCCUCCUGGUCUGCAGCCGUCUGUGGAGACUGUUUGUCGUUGCCGUCGUCAUAGACAUUGUCAUCACGCAAGACCAAAUCAUCGGCUGGCACGGUGACACCGUACCUCAACCGCCUGUCACCCACGUCCCGUGCCCGGACCUUGAGCUCCCGGAUCCGCGUGGCGAUCCGGUGCCGAGCCGGGAGGGAGGCUUUGCAGCAGCCGGAGGAGCCGACGCAGGUACCGCAGGAGGCAGUUUCCCGAAUGGUGAUCGGCGGCGACAUGGUGGAGAUAGAUCUCGACGUUGCCCUCGCAGUCCCGAGCGAGGCCGACGACCUGCUUCAUCCAUGCCCGCACCAAGUGGUUGCGGUGGUGGGCAUCCGUGAGGUGACGGAGCAGGCCGUUCAUGGUCUCCAUCUCGUCCCUGAUGAACUCCACAUCGCCGCGGAGGCCGCCCAGCAGCUGAGCCUCGUCAAGGAGCAUGGAUGUCAGCCGACCGAGGAGCGAGUCCACCGCCCCCUGUGCCGCCCCGGCCAUUUCCUCCUCCUCCUUUGGUUCUUCUCUCCCUCUACUCCAGCUAUAGGCCGAUCAAUGGCAGUUUCGUUGUUGGGAACAGAUCAUGCAAGCAUGCAGCUGCUUAUCUCGGUAAAAGGUUAGCCUCUAAGAUGGUGUUGAUCCGAUGUAUGGACAUGGACGCUGGUGAAUGGCUAUAGAGCAAGGAACAAGAUGCCAUGGGGGUUGGAGCAAGUAAUAGGAGGCCAUUAUUGCCGCCAUCAUCCAACAAGGCAAAGCAACCACCAACGUCAGGACCAUAGCAUGCAUAGAUGCUUGGAUUACCGCUGAAGCAAAGGCUUUAUACGUGCAGCUAGCUGCUGCACUUUGCCAGAACCAGCUUCUUUGCUUUGCUUGCGAGUCAGUCACCUAGCGCAUAUGCCUGGCUUGCUCAGAAAUGUGUCAUCUUCGGCUUUUGCCUUUUGUUUACCACCGAAACAUUCCACUUUAUGAGCACUGUCUUGUCUCCCUCUUUCAUUUGUACUUUCCUUUUAUAGCAGCCUCUGCAUCAUGAUAAUUAACUUUGAAUUUUUGAGAUUUUUUUCAGGCCUUAUUAGCCGUAAUUAUGAUAUAGUACUUCAAUAAUAUAAUAACCAUUGUACAAUCUUUGUUUGAUGAACAGAAUACGUUCUUAUGUUGGAUGAACAGAAUAACCAUUGUAUAAUAAGCAUCUCAAUAACUUGUUUAUUUGGAGCUAGCUCUUGGAAAAUAGUAAAGGCCUGCCUUUCUUUCCUUUUAUAGUAGGACUAAUUUAAAGCAGAAAGUUGAUCACUUGCUACAAUGUGCCCAAACGAGUUGUUAAUUGUACAAAUUAUAAGCUUGCAUGGUCCAGCAAUGUGUGGCUAAUUCGUUACAUAUGCCCUUGUGGUUCGAUUUGUGAUGAGUGAUUAUCAACGUGAUCCACGACCUAGGUUGAGUUGGUUACUAACCUCUAGCAUGAGUUGGGUGUGCGACAUGUCUCUUGCCUUGUGGUGUACAGGCGUGGAGCUCAGAGGCGGUGGUCUAUGGCGAGGAGAAGGUCAAGUAGAGACGUGCCAUGCCGAUGGACCUAGAGCGGUGAAGGGCGGACGUGAGGCUUGGACUGAGGACCAGGAGGCCGGGUGACGAAUCGCGGUGGCUGACACCUAACAUCAAUGAGUGCAAGUGUACAUGGGAGUGACCGUGUUGACCAAGUCAAGACUCAAGACGGCGGACAUGCGAGUCGAACGAGGCUCAAGAGGACUUGGCGGGCCGGCCGGUCGAGGACGGCGGUGACACGUGUCGAGUGGCGAGGGAAGCAUAUGGAAUACGCUACUCGUGGUGGUUUUCGUAGGUUUGGGCCUCAAAACCCGGCGAAGGUUCCGAGGAACGGACAACACGUGGUGGCAUCGAGGAGUUAACGUCGAGGCUAAGCUACCUCACGAAGGGCGCGGUAGCCGUCGGAUCUAGGUAUGUCGAGUUAGACCAAAAUGUCCCUAUGGAUAGCUAGUUUGCUUAAAAAUAUUCAGAGGCAAUUAGGUAAUGUGUAAUAUACCUGGGAGUCCCCCAUCUCCCUCACCUCUCUCCCCAUGCUCAUUCUCCUGCUUUCUAGUUUUCGUGUAAGCAUCUGAAUUUUUGAGGGGAAUGGAGGCCUAAAUGCUCCAGUUGUCCUCCGGUAUUCCAAAUUUUUGCCUGUACUGUGUUCUUGAGUUUUUUUCCAUUUUCGUUCAUAGCUAUGAUCUGAUUUUCCCGGAGUUCGGGUAGGCGAUGAUUUCUUGGGGAUGUGUUUAUGCUAGGUCAAAUUUCAUCUAGUUGAAGUUUGGAAGCGAAUCCUUUUGUUUUGGUUUGGUUUUUGGUAGAUUUCUUUGGUCGCCUGUUCGUUCUGUUCAUGAGCAGCAGUCUUUGUUCUUUGUGUGGAGACGCAAACAUGUAGGCCUGCAGCACUCAGGCCAAGAUGGCCUCGUGCUUCACUCACAGGAUAUUUUCUGACUGUAUUCGAGAUCGAAUUCGUUUUAAGAGGCUCAGAUACAUCCGUAUUUGAGUUUGAAUAUUCAAUAUCCGAAAUUGUAUCCGCAUCCGAGUACUUAAAUCGUAUAUUUAUGAUGUCAACAUCUAAUCAUAUCUUAUCCAACAUAGUUGACAUUAUCCGUAUCCGAAUCCGUUUUUAUCCCUAGGUGCGUCUGUGCAGCAGGCAGGCUAUUUCUGCCGGCAGCUAUUCACUCAACAGCAGGGCUGUUUUGCCCAAGGUUUUGGGAUUCAAAAUCUAAAAAAAAAAUUGGUGCCUGUUGAAUGGACGAAUUUCGAAAAAUUCGGACCGGGAUUCACUCGUUUGACCAGUCAAAAAAUUCGUAAUCUGGUGAAAUUUGGCCAAAUUUUGACAGAAAUUGAAAAACAAUGGUACUACAGCCCUUGCCAGUGCAUCUAUGGUCAGCGUGGAUUAUGCAUCCCACAUUUGAGUGAUGUCGUUGAUGCCUUGAGCCAUUAACCACCACCGGUGACACUAAUUGAGUGUGUUGUACCUCCUGACCAUGAGACUCAGCAAGAAUGAAGUUGAGCAAUAGAAAACCAAAGGAGGGGAUGGGACGAGGGAGAUGGACGGGUGCAUUGCUUCAGCAUGGAGCUUUGCCACCAGCGGCCGGCGGCCAGCCACCCAGGGAGAGGAAGAAAUUAAAUGAUUAGGGUUCCUAGGAUGAGGUUCAUGCUUAUAUUAUAUAGCUGUGGGAGAUAAGUUUGGGCUGGCUUGGACCUUGUGUUGGGCUAGAAAUUCAAAUUAGGCUGAAUUUUUUUGGCCGGAUUGUAUUCCUCUCGGGCCUCACCAAAAUGGGCGAAUGUCACCGAAAUUCGGCCUAUUCAGGGCGAAACCCAGAUCCUUGGUUUUAUAGAAAUAGGAGGUAACGGGAUGACCAUCCUGGUUCCCGGUUCCGUGUUUAUAUAGUGAAGGGAAGAGCCCCCUUCGUGGCUGUACAUGGAGAUCGUUUACAAUAAAGACUUGACUUAAUCUACAAGCUCUUCUAGCCUAUGCAUGUAUGGCGUCUAUUCAAUACUGCUGAAUAUUGUGCCAUGUGUCAUGCUUCUAACAUAUUCAACACAAUAACAUGCACCGCUAACACACACACACUAUUUUCAGCUACUAUAUUCUAACAUCCUCCUUCAAUCUCAGCCACUUUGGAGGUUGAGAUUGUCUCUAAAUUUCUUCAAUUUGAUUACCGGUAAUGCUUUGGUGAAGCCAUCAGCUAACUGAUCUCCAGUUGAAAUAAACCUGACUUCUAGUAAUUUUUGUGCCACCCUUUCUCUGACAAAGUGAAAGUCUAUUUCGAUAUGCUUUGUUCGUGCAUGAAAAAUUGGAUUUGCAGAAAGGUAGGUUGCACCUAGAUUAUCACACCAUAGUCGUGCUCUAGGUGGGUGCCUAACCCCAAGUUCAUUCAACAACUUCUGGACCCAUAUCAUUUCUACAGUUGCAUUGGCGAGUGCUUUAUAUUCAGCUUCAGUGCUUGAUCUUGACACUGUUGGUUGCUUUUUAGCAGUCCAAGAAAUCAGGUUGUUGCUAAGAAAUACAGCAAAACCUCCAGUAGAUCUUCGGUCAUCCACACAACUGGCCCAAUCAGCAUCUGAGAAGGCACUUACUAACAUGGAUUCAGAUUUGCUAAACUUAAUGCCAAGUUUGGUGGUCCCUUUGAUGUACCUCAGGAUCCUUUUAACAGCGCUCCAAUGUAUAGUGGUAGGUGAAUGUAAGAACUGACAUACCUUGUUUACUGCGAAGGAUAUAUCUGGUCUUGUUAGGGUUAAAUAUUGCAAUGCUCCUACCACACUACGGUACUUAGUAGCAUCUUCAGAUCCAAGUUUGUUCCCAUCUUCUAUACUUAGUUUCUCUGAGCUGCACAGUGGUGUAUCAACAGGAUGACACUUGUCCAUACCAGAUCGUUUUAGUACCUCUGUGGCAUAUCUCUCUUGGGUGAGAAGCAUACUAGUGUUUCCCCUCUUGACUUCGAUGCCCAAGAAAUAAUGAAGGUCACCUAAGUCUUUAAGUGCAAAGUCAUGUUGCAGAUCAACAAGCAAGGCCUUGGUAGCAUCGGGAGAUGAACUAGCUACUAUAAUAUCAUCAACAUAAACAAGGACAAAUAGAGUGUACCGUCCCUUGUUGAAGUAGAAGAGUGAUGCAUCUGCCUUGGAAGGAACAAAUCCAAGAGACUCAAGUUUUGCACAAAGACGAGCAUGCCAUGCUCGAGGAGCUUGCUUUAGGCCAUAAAUAGCUUUGUCUAGUUUGCAAACAUAGCCUGGAUACUUGGAGUCAACAUAGCCAGGUGGUUGAUGCAUAUACACUUCCUCUUGAAGGACACCAUGAAGAAAAGCAUUUUUGACAUCCAAUUGGCGAAGAGACCAUCCUCUGGAUAGAGCUACAGCCAAAACAAUGUGAAUUGUUGCAGCUUUGACAACCGGACUGAAAGUGUCCUCAUAGUCAAGACCAUAGCGUUGUCGAUAACCUUUGGCCACCAAACGCGCCUUGUACCGUUCAACUUGACCAUCAGCUCUCUUUUUGAUCUUGUACACCCAUUUGCAUCCAAUGACAUUCUUGCCACAUGGAGGUGGGACCAAAUGCCAAGUGUGAUUAUUGAGAAGAGCACGAUGUUCUUCAUCCAUAGCCAUAGACCAACGUUUAUCUUGCAUGACAUCAUCAACAGACGAUGGCUCUUCUGUCGUGGCAAGGUUACACCAGCGGACAGUGCCGUCAGUGCGGCGCUUAGGCUGCACAAUUCCAUGCUGAGAACGAGUGGCAGGACGAGGUGGUACUAGAAUAGAGGGAGUCGGUGCAGACGUGCAUGUAGGAGCCGCACCAAGUUCAGGAAUAGACGCACCAGACUCCACGGCCAAAUUUGGUUGUGCGGCCGCAUGCUGCUGCGAUGAAGCUGCACCAAGUCCAGGAAUAGGCAUUCCAAACUCUGAGGCCAAAUUUUGUUGUGCGACCGCAUGAUGUUGCGAUGAAGCACCACCGAGUCCAGAAAUAGGCGUUCCAGACUCCAUGGUCGAAUCUGGUUGGGCAGCUGCAUGCUGCUGCGACGAAGAUGGAUCGGAUGCGACGGGGUCAGCGGUUGGCCCUGACAAGGCCGCAUCUCCAUUGGUUGGAGGAGGGCCUGAUAGACUCGCAGCUGCGCCUGAGGUCGUCAGCGAUCCGGAGAGGAAGCUGAUCCCAUUUGUGCAUGUGCUUGUUUCACCUGCAGUCAUCAAUUCUCCAGUAGAAUUUGAUGAUAAGUUAGUAGGUAAUGAAGAACUCACACACUGAUCAAGUACUUGAGUUUUCCCAAAUGUGGAGGUUGGGUUGAGAAGGAUAUCAGGUAGAAGGGUAAGCUCUGCACGGAGUUGGGCACCCGCAUUAGGAUGAAGUUUGGAAAAUGGAAAUAGAUGUUCAUCAAACACCACAUCACGGGAAAUAUAAAUGCGACCAGUAGUGGACUCAAGACAUUUGAACCCUUUAUGAUGGUUACUGUAACCAAGAAAUACAUAUUUUUUUGAUCGAAACUCAAGCUUUCGAGGAUUAAAAGGUCGAAGGUUGGGCCAACAUGCACAUCCAAAGGUGCGAAGAAACAUAUAGUCAGGAGCUUGUCCAUGAAGACGUUCAUGAGGUGUGUCGUGGUCUAUGACUUUGGUGGGUAGUCGAUUAAUAAGAAAGACAGCUGUGAUGAAUGCCUCAUCCCAAAAUUUGAGAGGCAUAGAAGCAUGGGCUAAAAGAGUGAGGCCGACCUCGACAAUGUGUCGAUGUUUGCGUUCGGCGGCACCAUUUUGUUGAUGUGCGUGAGGGCAUGAAAUGUGAUGGGAUAUCCCUACACGUUUAAAGAAGGAGCUAAGAGUUUGAUAUUCACCACCCCAGUCUGUUUGCAUAGCACGGAUUUGCAAUCGAAUUGACGCUCAACAAGUUGCUGAAAAUCAAGAAAGCAUCGAAACACCUCAGAUUUUUGACGAAGUAAAUAGAUCCAAGUAUGUUUACUAUAAUCAUCAAUGAAACUUAAAUAAUAUUUAUUCUGACCGACAGAUUUGGGAGCGGGGCCCCAUACAUCGGAAAAAACAAGAUCAAAAGGGUGUUUUGACACACUAGUUGACCUAGGGUAGGGCAGCUGGUGGCUUUUUCCUUGUUGACACGCAUCACAAAUACUAUGUUGACUGGAAUCUUGAACAAAAGGGAGCUUAUGGUGGUUGAGGACACGCUGAACUACUGGAGUGGAUGCAUGACCAAGUCGAUGAUGCCAUAACGAGGUGGAUGGUUUGAUGGUGGCAAGCACUUCUUUAUUGGAUGACUGGAGUGGGUAGAGGCCACGCUCACAUCUGCCUUGGAGUAGGGUUUUCUUCGUUCCCUGCUCCUUGACCAAAAAAUGAUCAGGGUGAAACUCAAGAAACACAUUAUUAUCACGAGUAAUGCGAUUGACACAGACAAGAUUCUUAUUUGCUUCUGGGACAUGAAGUAUGUUACGUAGACGAAGGUUGCUAUUAGGGAAACUCAAAGUACUGUGACCAAUGUGAUUGAUCUUCAUACCUGAUCCGCUAGCGGUGUGUACAUGGUCGUUGCCGUUGUAGCGAUCGUGGAUUGUAAGUUGAUCUAGCUCGCUAGUGAUGUGGUCCGUGGCACCAGUGUCCAUGUACCAGUUGGUGUCCACGCCGUAGGAGGUUGUUGCUGCGGAUGCACUCUUCUUUGGUGGGUAGCCGACAUACUUGUAGCAGCGAUCCGCACCAUGGCCUUCCCUGCCACAAAUCUGGUAGAUCACACCUUCGAGAAAGGUGUUGUUGGUGAAGUUGUUGUUGUUGUUGUGGCCACCACCACGACCACCAUUCCGACCGCUGUUGCGGCCACGCCCGAAGCCGCCGCGACCACCACCACCACGGCCGCCACGGGAAUAGGAAGGACGACCACCACGACGGCCGCCCUUUUCUGCAGAGUUGACGGAGGAGUGGGAGCCGCCAUCGCGGAUCUCACGGCGUUGUUCAUGGCUCACGAGCUGAGCCUGGAGCUCUGGGAGAGAAAUCGGGUCGGUACGGUUUGCAACCGCAGAUGUAACCGACUCGAACUCCUCUCCAACACCCAUGAGGAUGUAGGAGACGACCUCGUCGUCGUCCAGCUUCUUGCCCGCCGACGCCAUCUCGUCGGCCAAGCCCUUCAUCUUGGUGAAGAAUUCCACGGUUGACGACCUCUUGGUUGUCGUGGCGAGCGCCAUCCGCGUGGACAUGAUCCGGGCGCGGGACUGGGACGCUUGGAGCGUCUGGAUUGCGGCCCACAAUUCAGCCGCCGUGGUCGCGUCCGCGACCUGGGAGAAGGUGUCCUCGGAGAGGGAUGUGAAGAGGUAGCUGCGGACUUGGCUGUCCUUGGCCAACCACGUCUCAUAUUCCGGAUUGACGGCCGGUUCCGCCUUGUUGCCCGCCGCCGCAGCAGCGGCGGCGUCGACCUCAAGAAACUCAGGAGGGGGUUUGGUGGUGGGUUUGGUGAAACUCCAGAGCAGAGCGCCCUGCAGAGUGGCUGUGACUUGAGCAAGCCACAUGUUGUAGUUGCUACGAGUUAGUUUCUUGGUUACUGGUGGGAGAAAACUAAAGAAGGAAGCGGCAGCUUCAGAGGAGGUUGCCAUGAGGAUCGAUGUAUCCGUGAGGAUUUUUAGGCUCUGAAUACCAUAUAGAAAUAGGAGGUAACGGGAUGACCAUCCUGGUUCCCGGUUCCGUGUUUAUAUAGUGAAGGGAAGAGCCCCCUUCGUGGCUGUACAUGGAGAUCGUUUACAAUAAAGACUUGACUUAAUCUACAAGCUCUUCUAGCCUAUGCAUGUAUGGCGUCUAUUCAAUACUGCUGAAUAUUGUGCCAUGUGUCAUGCUUCUAACAUAUUCAACACACUAACAUGCACCGCUAACACACAAAUAGCUACUAUAUUCUAACAGGUUUUGGCUAGUGCUCUUAGUUUUUACUCCUCUAGUUUCUGAUUGCUUUGUUUCCUUUCAGUUCGUUCUUCUCUAUUCAUGUGCUCGUGUCUGUGUUGAGCAGGAGCAGCUGUCCUGCAGUCCAAUCGCAGACACCAAGCGAGCCUGAUUUGAGCAGCAUUUGCCGUAGGUGCUUGUGGCCGGCUGCUCGUCCAGGUGUUGAUUUGUUCCAUGCGUGAUUGUCUGGUGUUGCUCUCCAGCAGUGCUUUUGUUCUGGAGCAAAUCACAGCAGCUUGUUCUCUUGUUUUUGAUUGGUCAGAAGCCUACUUGUUCCUUCAGUGAUUUAUUAGUGCAAUGAUUGCUUAAAACUUGGAGCAUUAAAUCACUUCUUGGUAUCUUCGGUUGUGAAUUUGUUUAUCUCUGAAUGGAUCAAGGAGAACAGAGACAACCAUAUCCCAUGAGCACCUAGCUUUGCAGGCCGAGUGUCCUUCUCUCUGCAGUGUGUUGAACGAAUUAUUCAGGGAUUUUCUGUCCAAUUUUUUUCUAGCCAUGAUUUCGUGUUUCGCUCGUAGUUUGAUCGUUUGAGUUUCGAUUCGUGUCCCGUCUAUUGCGUUGAUCUUCUAACUUUACGAGGAUUUUAUCUAAGUGCUCUUGUCACCAAUUGGCUUGAAUAAUUUAGUUUUGGGUACUCGCUUGUGUUUUGCAGUGUUCCCCCCUCCCCCCUUAGGUCGCCGUUUCCGGUCCUUCAGUUACCUUGCAUGGUCCAGCAGGCAUUACAAGCCACUGCAAUGGUCCACCACCAUGGUCAGCGAGCACGAUGGAAAUUAACGGCGGCAGCAACCAUGGAGUGCCUUCUAUGCGGUGGCUUGGGAGCAGGCUUGAGCGCAGGCCACACAACGGCAGUGGGCCGCUACUUUUUUUUUGUCUCUCAUGUUUUAUAGAGGCAGCCAUUGCAGGCUUGCAACCCAUCUCAUACCAUACCUAAUUAACAGAGACCUGGUCGAGCCCAUUCACUUGUCUUAUAAGCCCUUUUUUUUACCAGCCAACAGUAUUUUUCGCUCACAACAAAUCAGCGAACAGUACUUCAGCCAUAACUGGUGCUGCCUCUAUUACUUCAGCCAACAGUAUUUUUCUCUCACAGUAGUGGCCCAAGUUGUGGAUACAUGAUGGAUCAAAUGAUAUUGAUCUACGGCUCUACUAACACAAGGACAAAUUAUAUGUGGUGGAACCCUAAUAGACGUUGUUAAUUGCAUCAACCUUGGGGUAAUAUAGAGUACAUAAGAAGUUUUUUAAUAGGUUUAAACAUAACAUACCUUUGGCAUAUGUGUACCACUAUGUUUAUAUCAAACUGUAUAUAUCAAUACCUCUAAUAUGUGGCAUAUAAGGAUAGUGUGUGUGAUGUGGGUACAAUAAAUUAUAUCAUGUAUCUACCAUUAUAGUCUAUGAUCAUUUUCAAAAAUACACUUAUAUAAGUCUAUGUGCGGCCGCCGUGACGAUGCCUUUUCUUUGUCGAGUGUCGCGAUAGCACUUAGCAAAGUCUUUAUCGAGUGUCUGACAAAUAGCACUCGGCAAAGAGGCCUUUACCGAUAAUUUUUUUGCCGAGUGGUCUUUACUAAGUGCAAUUAGGCAUUUGCCUAGUCUCCAGUAGUGUAUCUAAUCUGUAAGAUUUCAUGCUAGUACUGUGUAUUAAAUGAAAAUUGAAAUUCAGUAUCACAUGCUUGACCCUGCUUAAUUCCAUGUACGUACCAUAGAAUAAAUGAGAUCAGCACCACAUGCUUCUACAUAAUUUUCCAUGAUUACAAAGUCAAAUAACUUCACAUGCAUGUGAUUCUAGAUGUACUCGCAGGUGUAUGAUACGUUGUGUGUAUUAUCUAAGUAAAGGAAAAGAAAAUGAAAUUUCAUAUCAUAAUUUAACUAUUACAUUUUGUUAAUGUAUCAAAUAUAUGUAAACGUACAAGUUUUUCUUUACUGGGUGGAGUGUAGAUUUAUUGACUUGUUUUAGGUCUAAUAAGCCUGCUUUUACCCAGUUUGGAUCAGAUCUAUGCAACUAACUAUUAGGUUUGUUAUUCUGAUUUUGAAAGGAGGAGUAUUUGAAACCUUAAAGAAUUGAAAUGAAAAAAAAUCAACUGUAAAGUUGAAGAUAUCAUCGAGAUUUCUACAACUUUGGUUUUGACCAUUUCUCCAUCCUAGGUCUUUUAAAAUUUUUGAAUUUCAAAUGUGAGAAAUUAAAAUAUAACUUUCCAUGGAUUGAUUAUUUCAAAUGAAAAAGUUCUCAGCUACAAAGUUGUAUAACUCUUAGAGAUUUACAACUUUUGUUUUGGUUGUUUCUCCAUUCGGGGCCGUUUAAAGAUUGAAAUUUUACUAUGUUGCACAGACAACAGUAGAUCUGGUCACCUCUAAAAAUUGAUUUUUAAAGACAGCUCUAGAUCCAGCUGCCUCUAGAAUUGGCUUAAUGUACUGAAUUGGCUCAUAAAUAUAUACGUAUGCUCUUUUCUAAAAUUUAAUUAAACAUAAAUAAAAUUAAAUGACUAUAGACAACUCUAGGAAUUGAUUUUCUUAGCAACAUGAAUAAAACACUAUAUUGAGCCAGCAAAUCAGCAGUCAAAGAACAAGUUCUUAAUUGUCUCUUCUUGACGUCAAAAGAACAAGUUUUGCUACCAUGCCAAUUGUCUUAAACUAAACGUUGUUUCAUUUUGAUCGAAAUUACAAUAAAGAGAGAAGAUUUAGAACACCUAAUAAAUUAGUAAAUUAUGGAACAUAUUCUCAUAAUGUACUGAACUGGCGUCAUAAAUAUAUACUCCACUUAUGCUCUUUUCUACAAUCAAACAUAAAUAAAACUGGACUUUAGACAACACUAGGAAUUGAUUUUCUUAGGCCUUGUUUAGUUCCUGAAGAAAAACAUUUUGCGAAACUGUAGCAUUUUUGUUUGUUUGUGGUAAUUAUUGUCUAACUAUAGACUAACUAGGCUCAAAAGAUUCGUCUCGUCAAUUCCGAUCAAACUGUGCAAUUAGUUUUUAUAUUUAUCUAUAUUUAAUAUUUCAUGCAUGCAUCUAAAGAUUCGAUGUGAUGGGGAAUCUUAAAAAAUUUUGGGUUUUGGGGUGGAAGUAAACAAGGCCUUAGCAACGGAGAGAGAGCAUCCCCACUUGUAUGCAUUUUUGUUACGUGUCAAAACCACAGCCGCGCCCAUUGCACAACACGUGCACACCUGUUUUUAUGUAAAGUCAGACACAGAUUCCAUGGUUUUGCUGCUACAAAUAGCGCAUCUCUGUUUGCCCAAUACAGGCAUCAGGCCAUCAGCUGACACUGCAAAUCUUAUUUUGCUCCCUUCAUCUACCUUCAAUAGCCACUCACGUCUAAUAAGCUAGUAGUGCUGAACUGCUGACCAAUGGCUUCCGCUAAUGGCGCCGUGUUCAGGCUAACCGUUUCUUUAGCUGCCUGCAUCGCCCUGGUCCUCUUGUUCAUGGGUCCGCCGGCGGCGAUGGCCGACGUGCUGGACGACUGCCGCAAGAGCUGUCGUCCGGAGUGCGAUGGCUUCUCUGCUAACCUUUGCAGGAACAUCACCAGUAUUUUCCGUGUGCUGAAUUUCGCAUAUACGACGUGCAAAGUUCGGCUGUCUUCAGAGUGCACGCACAUCUGCAUCGACGUCUGCAGCCUCAACACCCUGACGCCAGGGACACCCCUGCCGGCAACGGCGCCGCCGGCCAGCUCCCUGUCACCACCAUGCAAGCAGCACUGAUGCAUGCAUGUUUGUUACACUUCCACAGAUAUUAUAUUGCUCCUCAUAAUGUCUCUCUACAUAUGUAAUAAUAAGUGCCCUAGCUCCCGGAUAGCCACAGAUACGAUGAGUGCAAUGGGAUCAGCAGUGUAUGAGCCAAGUCCCGAACUAUACGGUGUCAGCAAAAUAUGUUUGGAACCGGCAAGAAUAAAUUUCGGUGUCAAAAAGUUCCCCUGGUUGUAGCACAACGACUGUGUACAUGUAUAGUUCUAUUUCAACGUUUACAUAUACUCCCUCCAUCCCAAAAUGAAUGCAUAGCUUCUGAGGAAUCAAACUUACCAAAUAUAUAAAAAUGUACUAAUAUUAAUGAUGUAUGAUAAAUAUUAUUAGAUUGCGCAUGGUACUAAUAUUAAUCUGGAUGCUACUACCGUACUUUCCAAAGGAUUAGCUUCCAAGGGUAUUUAUCCCGCAGUAGAUCCUUCAGAUUCAACCUUACAGCCUCGAGCUCGGAUCAUUGGCAAUGUAACAUUUGAACUAUUUAUACUGUAACUAGCCAACAUACUUGAGUGUUGUAAUGAGACGUGCUACUCAGUGGAUGGUGCUCGUGUUAAUGUUAAUGAGCUAGCUAUUUUUGUUGAAUUAAAUUGGACUGAUCUCAAACUUAAAUUAAAUAAGAUAAGCCUAUAAUAACUGCUAGUGCAAUAAAGGAUUAAUCCGUGUAAGAAAUGAAGUUUUCAAUUUCUAUCAUGGAAUCUCCUAUUUUGUUGGUAGUUUCAUAGCGACUGGGAAAUUUUGGUUUCUAGUAGUGAUAGGUGGUUAUUGUGUAUGUGAUGCUACGUCAACACGUAUAGUAAAAAAAAAUACUACGUAAAGAAAAGGGGGGUAUGAAAUAUCCAUAGUGGAUGCGUUGGAUGGACGCCAAGUGAUUGAUAUUAGACCUUCCGGGCCAGAACUUCUUAUUUCAGAGGGGGAAUCAAUCAAGCUUAUCAACCAUUAACAAGCAAUCCUAAUGUAGUGGGUUUGGUUAGGGGGGUGCAGAAAUAGUGCUUCAGGAUCCAUUGUGCAUCAAAGGCCUUUUGUUCUUCUUCGUAUCUGUUGUUUUGGCACAAGUUUUAUUGGUUCUCAAAAAGAAACAGUUUAAAAAGGUUCAAUUGUACGAAAUGAAUUUCUAGAUCCUGGGAUUUCUUACCAUCAAGUUAGAAAAAAACCCUCGAUUUCUGGAAUUCCUUAUUUCUAUCUCAUGCAAAAGAGAGGAUCCAAGGCAAAGACGAGAACAAUAAAAGCAACAAGUCCUUUUAGGAGGAAUUGUGGGUCUUCUUAAUCCUCUAUUGGGCACAAGAAAAAGGCAAAAAAAAGCCUUUUUCUUGUGUUGAUUCUUCUUGUAUCGAAGUAAGAAUCAUUUUUCUUCUUAUUUGUUUUGUCAAAGAUUACUAUUAUUCUUUAUUCGGGUCUGUCUUUUUUACUUCCUUUGCUUAGGUUCGGGCGCGGUAGUGGACAAACAGAGGGAAAGAAAGUAUGGCGGGGACAAAUGUCUUGUGAGCAAAUAGAAUUGCUUGACCUUUUCAAUUAAGUUCAACUUUGAACUUACAUAAAUUUUGUAAACAAAAAUCUAUACCCUCCCAUGGAAGGGUGGUUUUGAUUUUUAGGCUAGUUGAAUAGUUUUUAUUAAGGUUUUAUUAGUUUAUUACUCUAAACUAAAUCAAUGAUUUCCAGGAUACUUCCUUCAUGGAAUAAAAUAUUGGAUCCUCUCCUUUCUUGUUGCUUCAUAAGAGUGAAUCCAUUUUAUGGGCGAAAGGAGGGGGCUUUAAAUCAACUGAUGGAUUGCUUCACUCACUAACAUCAUUAACAAAUAAAAGAAUAAAUAGAGGGAUUCCAACCAUCAGAGCAAAGAUUUUCUCUUUGUUAUUUUUACAAAUAGAAUUAUGAGUUAAUAAAGGUUGAAGGUGAGCCACACGCUCAAAUGGUGAGCCAACCAGGACUAAAGUUCCCCUUUUAGUCCCGGGCCUGUGAACCGGGACUAAAGGUGGGACAUUUAGUCCCAAAACCUUUGUCCCGGCUCACAGCCCGGGACUAAAGACCUGUUUCAACCGGGACAACAAGGCCUUCGUGCAGCAGUGCACGUUGAUGAUGUGGUGCUAUGUAGGAUGUCUGACGUAGUGGCACCACAACCAAAUAAAACCACUUUAAAACUGCUCAUGAUGAUAAAAUGGAACGACUGCAAGAGUUGUUGAAGUCCAAAAAUUCAGUUUUUUGAUUGAAGGAGGCAAAUCAAACUUGUGCAUUAGUUUAAGGAGGUUAGAUGUAUUUUUUUCCUACUAAAGCAUAGCGCCUACCAUGAAACUAAGGUGGGCCAGAUUCUAUGUAGUUGUGUGAGACAAAAGUAUGAUGGUCUGGGAGAAACGCUCGUCUCCAUACUCCAUUAACGGUGGCGGUCUCCUUAAGACAGCUGCCUUCAUUAGUGCUUUAAGAGAGAUGGUCUCACUAAGGUGAUCACCUGCGAUAAUGGAGCAAUAACAAAUCAGGUCACCUUAAGAUGCUUGCCACAAUUAAUGAAAGGCUAUAAAUACAAUAGCCCAACCACCUCAUCUUGUGAGCUGCUCUAAAACUGUGAAAAAAAACAGUUUUCAAGGGGGGGGGAUUUAGAUCUUGGUUUAUUCGAGGGAGGUGGUCGUAGGAGUUCAAUAUGUGCUCUCAUACCCUCUUGUGGUGGUCUAGAUCUAUAUCUAUGGUGGAGGAGAUACAAAAGGGAAGAUACUUAUGGUGUUAGUUCAUGUAAGUUGGUAUAGCUACACAUAGAACUAGACACAUUGUGUGCGCGAUAGCACAUAGAUUUAGUUCACAUCAUAUUGGUUUUAAUUGUGUCAUGCGUGUAUAUUUUUAUUUGUGUGGGCAAAGAGAAGGUAUAUACAGGUCCAAAUUAAUGGCAUUCAUGUUCUUUUUUUGUGUGUGUGAGAGAAAAUACGUACAAGUUCUGCAUGCACCAUCUCAGUAUAUUAGAUGAAUAUUCAUACAUUAAUGCGUCUACAACAUAUAUAUUUCCUACUAGAAGUUUACCAUAAUAAAGGUCGCAAUGGAUGCACAACAUAAUAAGGCUAGCAUCAUCUCUCAUGGAACAAGUGACAAAGUUUGUUGACAAUGCUUGUGUUGGGAAGGAGGUCUCCGCACUCCCCAGCAGUUCGGUGGAUGGUGAACCUUCUCACUCGGUGCCGUGAGAGGUCUAAGCUCCAACAAGCAAUAAGCUCAACAGUAGGUGAAUGCAGUGAAUGCUCUCCCUUUUCAUUAACGACGGCAUCGCACCCCUUAUAUAGGGCCCGGAAACCGACAUAAUGUCAUUUACAUAAAUACCCCGUGACGGUGGGAGGAUAUUCCAGCAUAUUCUUACAUCACAGUCUACUGACCCUAAGUCACCUGUGUAAUUUCACAUUGCAAGCCCUUCGUUUAUCCUCCGUCUGGGGCUUUAGUCGGUCGGAGGCUUGGAACCUCCGCCCAAUCGCGGAUCCUCCGACACUUCGGUGUCGGAGGUUCCUCAGCCUGGCCGGGCCGGAGGUUGCUCGUCCCGGCCACCCCGGGGGUUCCUCCUCAGCCUAGUCGAGUCGGAGGUCUCCGGCCUGGCCGCGUUCUCGCCAUCCUCGGACCCGGGAAGGUCGGAGGUUCCCACCUUUCUUCACUCGUGGUCCUCCGCCGGUGUCUCGGUCCCUGCACACACUUAGCACGACCAGACGAGUCGUCAACAUUAGCAUUUCCCGAUGAAGGAUAUCCUCCGACGCUUCUGGCGUCGGAGGUUCCUCGGGUGAAGGAUAACCUUCGACGCUUCAGGCGUCGGAGGUUCCUCGGGUGAAGGAGGAACCUCCGACGCUUCCAGGGGGAAGGAUGCAGCAGUUCCCCAACAGCU
rnacentral:lncRNA from 1 species